rnacentral:lncRNA from 1 species
UUUUUUUUUGUGAGGAGAGCAAUUAGUUCAGUAAAGAUGCAACCAGACCUCGAAACUGGCCAAAUCUAAUGAUACUGAAAGUCCUUCCUGUUUAGCAAUCCUAAUAGCUUCAAUAAUCUGUUCCAUGUUCUGUUGUGCAUAUCUCACAACAAGCCACUGCAUCAAAAUAAAUAGCAAUGAAAAUUCAGACUUAACAAAAACAUGUGCUAGGAUGUUUUUUAUAAGAAGAAUAAUAUAUCACGAAACGGAUGUGCACCAAAGAGGGAAAAGGAAAGCACCUUGGAGCCUUUGAAGUCCUCCUCUCUAAACUCAUUGGCCUGUUAGAUGGACAAAUGAUCUCACCAAUCAUAAGAUUGUUAAGAGAUGUAAAUUUAACACUGCAUCAGACAAGGGUAUACCUGCAGCUUGACUGCACUAGAUAGGCAUGGCCGCAUGGUGCGAUUGCCGCUUGCAUCAACCAAGCACGCACACUAUAACAGGUAUGCUUUUCAGCCUUAUCCACUAUGCAGUAAAAUAAGGGCAAAAAAGAUAAAUUCUGGCUUCUGUUAGGCUACCUGAGCGGUGUGCCCUUUUUUGGGCCUUAAUCUUGUGAGAUCUACACCACUAAAACUCAUAUUGUCGACAAACAAAAUGGCCUGGUUAUCAUCUCCACAAGCUCCAAUUAUUCCAGUUGAUAUCCCAAAACCAGCUGAGAGCCCACGGAUUGUGUUGGCAACGCUUCCACCAGCCAUUGUAGUUAUUGGAGUGAGAUCAUUGCGGGAAGGAAGGAUGUGGGCAUUCACUUCAGUAAGAAUAUGAUUCAGCUCCUCAAUGGACACCUGUACAUAAAACUAUUGUCAGAUGAAAUGCAGAACCCAACCCAAUGACACAAAGUUUUGAUUCCCCUUGUAAGCGAUGCCAGGUUAGUUGCAUUAUCUUGAUGCAAAACAACUCAAGGUUCAGAAAAUAUUUCAUAAUGCAAAUGCAACCACAAAAAACAACAAUAAAACACACUGGAUGUGUGAUUCUUCAACAGUUCAACAUCCAUGCGAUAACUAAAAAGGUUGUAGACAGUUUUCAACUAGCAUAACAUAUAUUUCCACUUUUCUUGGUAGCUUUGAUUCCAAAUUUCUUUUAUGUUGCAUUAAAGAAAAAUCUUAUGAUAGAAUGGAAUUGUUCCUGCACAUGUAUGCAUGUGCCUUUUGCUUUGUUUAGAAGCUAAAGCCAAAUGUUGCCUUCUUGGAAUUAUGCUAGUAUGAUGGGAAGGAAAAUGAUAACAUUUCAGCAUGUUCAACUGAAGAAUCUCUGACUGUCAGUUCGUAUAUAAGAGAGUAGGUUGAUUUGAUAGAUAGAGGGACUCUAACCUAUUGCACAUAAUCCAGAAGAUACAGGUACAAAGUAUGACAUUUUAAAAUCUAGGUUGGAAUCUAACUGCUACCAAUUUAUAAUUUCAUCUAUCAAAAAAAAAUGCAUUAUAGACUAUCUUGGGAGCAUACACUACUUCCUUACACAAGGGCAGCAGUCACAUCAUAAAGGUGGCAGGUGCUAAUUAAGAUUCAAGAUCAUUGCAAGUACUACUUUUCUCUCUUGACAAUUACGGGGAACUCCUGUGUGGAGAUCAAAUAUGACAGGGAGAAAAUAAGUAAUUAGAAUUUGACAAGAUGCUGAGCCUGCAAUCAUGUAUCUUUGCAUAGAAAAGUCAAGAAUGUCUGACGACCAUAACUAGCAUGGUGGUUUCUUUCACUACAAACUUUCACUGAGUCUGGGGCAUAAAUAGUUAGGUGCCCGCAGACCAAUCAGUUCAAGAAACGUUAGGCCAUGCUUGACCAUUCCUGAAGUGUGCAGUGCAGAGCAUGCCAAACCAUCAGGCAAGCACUUUCUCAAUGAAAGCAACACCAAAUCUAAUCAAUAUAGCUGCAUUUAACCAAAGCAAAGUAUAGACCACUUCAAAUAUAGGAAAUAUCUGUCUCUACGCCCACCAAAAGUACUUGAACUGUUCUGUUCAAGUACAGGAAGAGUGGAACCAUGUGGAACAAAAGAACAGGCAAUUUCUUGACAAUCCGAGGAGACAUAACAUAAGUCAGUAGGGCAUUCAUUCAUGAAAGCAUGUGUCUUAUAAAAUAUGAAACAAAAUUAGCUGCACAAACCAUUUCAAGAAUAAAGAGUGCAUCAUAAUCAUAAUAUACAAAAUUCGGAAUGAGAUUCAACAAGUUACUUCUGAUGCAGCACUUAGGGUUCUUUUUCUCAGAAAAAAUACAGAGGUCACAAAAUUGAGUACAUUAGAAUAUUGAAGAACAAGAGAUCCAAACGUCACAUGGCCGGCGGACAGCUAGAAAAGGAACAUGGAGGGGACGCCAAUUGAAGCUAGAAUUCGGCCAGUGAUGCAACAGCCUACCUCUAAAUAACCACGUGAUGGCAAAUGAUUCACCCGAAAAUUCAAACAGGAAAAGAAACGGAGGGGACGGGGGAAGAAUUCCGAGGGUGUUGGACCUCGAAACAGGAACGAAUUUCCAACGACGAACAACAUUGCAAACAUCUGGCAAUCAAUACAGCAUAAGUGGUUACUGGCUCCAUCAGACCGGCCCUUGCAGGGUAUAAUUGGGGUUGCGAUUUCAAUUCGCAAAUUGAACGGAAGAGUGCGCUUGGAACUGUCGAAGUGAAUUACAACCAUACGGGCCGCGUUGCGCGCGGAGGGAGAGGGGAGGAGCGCGAAGUACCUGCUGCGAGCCGCCGCGGUCGCCGGGGACGCGGUCGAGGAGGGACCAGUCGACGCGGGCGACGUGGUCGAUCAGCGCCGAGAGCUGGAGCCCCAGCACCGCGGGCGCCGCCGCCGCCGCCGCCUCCCAGCCGGGCCGGAGGGAGGACGGAGGCUGCUGCGGGUGCUCUGCCUCGGCGCCCAUAUGGGUCGGUCCAGGUGAAUUGGCCGGUCUCCCUCCGCUGGCCCUCUCCUCGAGCGGAGGAGGAGGAGGAAACGGUCGCCGGCGCCGGCGGUGCGGGGGGCUGCUGGGCCCGUGUCGGGAGCAGAUGGGAUUGCAAAGCCUCCAAGGGGAGGGCUUCUUCGCCGCCGUUUUAUAGGAGGUGGAAGAGGGGGCAACCUUCUUCGGCACUGUUCAUCACUGCCCUUGCACGGAUCUCGAUGCAUCUUGCUCGAUUACGUGGAUUAUUGUCUCCGUCAUUAAUCACCUCAUUAUUAUUAUUAUUGACUUAUUUUCGAUGGGUGAUGCAUGGAGUAUGUACCACUACCACACCACGACUUACACAACCGCGCCGGCGCACCUACUGUAUAACAUGAGUCUAUUUUAAGAAAACGUUUCAUGGAUUAUUUUUAAAAAACAUGGAUUAUUUAUUCAUGUGUAUGUCAAAUUAUGGGCACCGAGAUUCAAACCAAAAACAUUCCAAUCAUUUCAUGAUGAUUUUAUUGUGUCUCAAGGAGUUACGUGUCUCAGAUAGACGACAUAGUACUGGGUCAUGCCUAUCCACUAUGGAUUAAACCCUAUAUGACUCUUUGUGUGUCUCAUUAAUCACUAGUAUGGUUAUUUAUCUACAUAAUAGAUGAUGUACCCAUCGGCAAAAGACUGGACUAUGUGUUUUAUGAAAUUUUACCAAAAUACAAUGAUCUACCACCCCAUUGAUGUUUAAGUCUUUAUAUGGAAUGAUACUUUGGUGUUAUAUUGACGGAUGCCCACUUCAAAAGAAUCUUUGGCUCUGCUCCUGUAGCGAAGUGAUUCCAGUGACUUCGUCUAGUCUCUCGUAAGCAUUUGUAUGAGUAAGCAUUUGUAUGAGUAGGGUACAUUAAUGAAAUAUAAAGUACGUACCCUCUCUGUUCCAAAUUAUAAGUUAUUUUUAUUUUUUUAAAAUUUAUAGAUUUUGCUAUGCACCUAUAUAUAUAUUGUGCUUUGAUAUAAACAUAUAAAACCUAAAAUGAUCUAUAAUUUAGGAUAAAAGGAGCACCUAGGAUUCGAUACCUAGUGAGUAGAAGGUACAGUCAACUCCGCUAGCCAUGCAAAGCAACACUUGACUCUUCCAUAUUUCUGAAUUAUAAUUGUAUGAAAUUAUGUGGCUAGGUACAGAUCCAUCCAUGGCUUCUCCAAUUAUACAUUUUGUGCAAGUGUGCAUACAAUUCGUGAUUGCGGGUUAUGGCCUAGGAACCACCUUUUUCACCCUGCGGGUAAAUGACGAUAGUAAGACUGCACUGGUCAAAGUUUAAAACCGUCACUAAAUUGGUACAGAUAUAUGGAACGUAUAUGAUGCAAACCAUCUAUCCCGUGCAGCCUUGGAAACUAUGAAUCAAGAUCACAAGAUGCUAAUCCAAUGGAUAGGAUUAGUAGUGGGGUUAUUUUGCAGUUAAGCCCCUUCACCCGCUGGCCACUUUUGAUGCAGCACCUUUUCCAUGAUAUGCAAAAUUAAACCUAAUUAAUUCAUAAUUAGCACAUGUUUACUGUAGCAUCACAUGGGCUAAUCAUGAACUAAUUAAGCUUAAUAGAUUCAUCUCAUGAAUUAACCCUCAUUUUUAUCAUUAGAUUAUAUUUAAUACUUCUAAUUAGUGUGCAAACAUCCGAUGUGAUAUGGAUUAAAGUUUAGUUGGGGUAUCAAGCACCCCCUAACUUGCACAUUGGAGCGACAUCUCGGAUCUUUCACCCAUCAUUCACGCUAGCUACUAGUAGUAUUUUGUUGCAAUAAUAAUACUCCCUCUAACAGCCGUUCGUUCUUUAGGCUAGUGGCGCAUAUUCAGUCUGACGAAGAAACCCCUUUUCUUUUCUUUUUUCGCGGGUAAAACCCCUUUUCUUUUGUAUCGUAGUGCUCUGUUUUCCUUUCCUUCGUAGUGCUUUGUUGUUCUUUUGAAUCACCGGAGCACACAUGCACACACACACAAAACAAAACAAAACAAAAAAGAAAAAAGGAAAAAAAAACUAUGAUGGCACGGUGCAGUUGCGCUGCAAAUUUGGGUCCCUGCAACUUUUGCUUAAAGAAGGCACAAGGGAACAAAAGGUGCCGGCUGAAAAUGAGAAUGACAAAGUGAUUAGGAUAUGAUUAUAAAGUUGACGGAGGCCGCGCCUCUGUGGUUGCUCCAGUGCUUCGUGGAGUUCAGAGGAAAUAACCGGUCGUUGCCGUUCGUGCGUCCGAUUUGGCUCGCGUCAGCUGGCCAACGAGGCAGCGAUCUCCGUCUCGCGCAGUCGCGCGGUAGAGCCACUGGCAUUCGCCAUUCGCUCGCGCUGCCGGUUGGCCAUUGACUCGCGUCAGCUCCCGUCAAGGAGGUCAAGAACAGCCUAGCAGCGGCCGAUCCGAUUGAUCCACGGGAAUUUUCUCGGCAGCUUCCCGUUCCGGCAGACGGGGACAAAUCCGUCGGCCGGCUCGGUGUGGUACCCAGCUUCCGUCAGGUACAGUACACAAGUGGGUGACACGAUUUGCGCGUGCCAGGAAACUACACGUAUGGGGGUGGUGAAGCCGUGGUAAUAAAUUGAGGACAAAUCAAUCACAGUCACGUAGAUGUUCCACUCGGUUAAUUAUUGUACCAGUACCGUAUACCAGGUCGCACGCUGGGAGAAGAGAAAAUUCCUUAUAUGCCAUCAGAAAUUAUACCCAUCCUUUUGAUACUAUAAAAAACUAGUAGCUAGGUGCCACUGCCCACUGCCAUUAAUUUUUCUUGGAGCUCACCGGUCGCCGUUACGGCACACUUGUAGCUCUGGUUCCAAUUGAACCGCAUAGCGUUGAGCUCGGUAUAUGUAAAGAAAAGAAAAAUCGUUGGCCGCUACCUCCAGUUCUCCUUCUCUCCCUCUUUCCCCUUGCAGGUACUGGAGUACCACUGCAACUGCUCGAAUCAACAGCUGCCGCUAGCCCAGUAGCCAAAUCUUUCAACAAAAAUGAGUUGCGCGCCCCUUCUUGAGCCUAGAUCUAGCGUCGCAACUUCCGAUUGUAGCAUAAAGGAGCUUGAUUUUGGUGACGAGGGUCUCGUUUGUGGCGGCGUCUACUCCUCUACUACUUGCGCACCUCCAUGGCCGCCGUCUCAUGUAGCCAUCUGCUGGUGUGCUACUUCCCUCUGCUGCUGCACUCCCUUCCUCCUCUACUGCUCGCUGCUGCAUGCCCCACCUCCGUGUUCCUGCCCGCUGCAGAGGGUGGCGUUGGGGGCGGUUGGACAGAUAGGGCGUGUCGAAUCGGGCCGCUAGGUGCAGCAGACCAGGUGGGCGCCGGCGCGCCGUCCAGCGGUUGAAGGGAGGGUCACAUGAUGAUUUUUUCUUUUCCUUUUUCUCCCCAAGUUUUGAUCUUUAUUAUAUGCAUAUAGAUGAUUACACACUUUAUCCAUCUAUAUUCUUAUUAAAUUUUUUUCAUGCACGUUUAGAUAGUGUUUGGUUCAGCAAAAUGUAAUGUAACCUAUCUACACUGUUAAUUGAUUACGUUAUAUCUUGUUUGUUUCACCGCCGCCUGUAAACGAGUCCCACGUAAUCAGAUACCGGCCAAUAGAAAUCUGAUACCCCUCCUUCUCCCCCGUAACGAGAUAUCAGUUCUCUUUCCUAGGAAAAGUGAGCUUUGUGCAUGAUGUAUUAAUCGAUACCGUUGCAUCCGCUGUAGAACCAAACAAAACAGGGAAACAGUGAUCUCACUGCCAAUGGCAGUGUAAUCCAUUUCCCGUACCGUUUGUGUUACCAGAUGGUGAAACAAACACUAUCUUAGUGUGCUGAACCAGCCAAAUGGUCCUACCAUUACAGCACUAAUCACGUCACUUGCCAUGAUUAGUGACAUUGAUGUGUGGAGCCUUUGCUACGAGGUGAGCAGGCAGCACGUGCACUAUGGCCACGAUUAUGUCCGUAAUCACAUGCCCUUCUCUUUAUCUCCUUUCACAUGGAGACGACGGGGCCUCUCCGAUCGCUUGGAAAAAGGAUGAAUUUAACAUCACUAGGAUGGAAAAGCUUACAAAUACAUGGGCGAUCUCGAUAAAUGGUUAAACCUGAGUUGUAUGCAAAAUGUUUACACCCAAAUGUCCGUCACUUACAGAGUGCUAUGCCUAUGCCAAAAAUGGUUAAAUUAUCUAGCAAAGGUUGUGCCUAAAAAGCUCGCAAGCCGACACGGCGGGGAGUAUCUGAUUGGGAAUCGUGGGAUCCAGGCCGCCCAAUGGCGGGACGACAGCUUAGCCCCCGUCCAAGCACAUGGCCCCCGCGGACAGUGACGAGUGACCACCCAGAUAGAUACUCUGCGCGCGCUCCAGCGUCCGGCCCAGGCCCAAUUCAUGCAUGCUAGCACACCACUUGAGUAUAGUAGCCCUGCUGCAGCAGCAGCUAUGCUGUGGUAGGAUGACACAACUGCUCGUCUGCUCCUCCCGUUCACGAGUAGCAAAGCAUGUCGCAGUGUCGCAGUGUUUUCAAAAAAAAAAAAAAGCAUGUCGCAGUGUCAUGUUGGCGUGCCGCUGGGAUUUGUUCGUCAGAAUACCAGACCACGAGAGAAAGAAAAGGAGAGGAGAGGAGGCAUGAAUCAUGGUGAUGCAUACUCGCCCCCCCCCCCCCCCCUCUCUCUCUCUUAGCCCUUCCUCUAAAGUGUGUUCCAAUAGGCAUUUGAGAAAUGGCAAUCCGACGUGGCAAACGGCUAGGUGCUGUUAACUGGGCCCUGGUGGCGGCGGGUGCACAUGAUGAUGGAAAAGGGGCACCACGCCUGGCCGAAUACGACGAGCGGUAGUAGCUCCCAGCCUCGCGGCAGGCGCAGGCGCAGGCGCAUCUCAUGGCUACUGCCGGCGAAAACAAACAGAGCAAGAUGCCCCGUACGUGACGGAGUGAGCGAGUGACAUCAAUCAGCCGGAGUAGGCGCGUGACAGCCGGUGAGAAGGGGACGGGAGGAAGACCGAAGACGCACUCCGAAAAACACGUGAACGAGAGGGGGUUUCUGGGCGGCUUUUGUUUGUUCCGGCUGGACGGCCGGCGGCCGGGGCUCCACCGGCCGAAAGUGACAAACCGGCGAUCCGAGAAUGAUACUCGGUGCCCCCACGCGCGCAUGAUUGCGUCUUGUUUCUUAAAGAUUUUGCCUGCUGCUGUGGCUCCUCGUCACGGCAAUGGUUCGACGGCAAAGGUCCCGUUGCCCCGAGACGAUCGUGCAACGGCUCGCAAAAUCGCAGUGCGCGCGGCGCAGGCCGGAGCACUUUUUCUUUCUUUUCUCCGUUUCUUUUCCUUUUCUUUUUCCAACGAACCGCUGAGCAGGCGAGCACGAACUGCUACUGUGUGAGGCAGUGAGGGCUAGUGUAGGCUAGCUGAACAACAAACAAAUGGACCGAGCCAACAACAAGGCCGGAAUUUGAUGCGCCUGCCAGCCUACACCCGUAGGCUAGCUCCUCUGCGGCGGCACUGCGUGUGGCAGGUAGUGCUGGGGGACGGUGGUGACUGGUGAGUAGCGCCCACCGCAGCAUCCAUGCGUUCCUCUCGUCUCUCUCGCGCAUCCGGCCGAGCCGGCAGCGCAGCGGCCUCACACGCAAGUGGAUCGUCUGGUCGACACGGCACCGCGCGGCGGCGGGGCCCGCUCGCAGUAGCAGCCCACGGCCCACGCGCAAUAUUGUUUGUAGCAGAUGAAAACUCUCGUUGACGUAGGGCAUUGACCUCCCAACCGGUCCGCCGGCAUCGAUUCGUGAUCGAUCCACAGUUCCACACACUCUCUCGGAGUCUCCCGCAAGCGCUUUCAUGUAUCGCCCGGAAGAGCAUUCCAGCACGCAGCAGCAGGCCGGCAGCACUAGUCCAGCAGAGGAGAAGUACCGGGCCGCGGACCGAUUUUGAUCUGGGCCUUUCACUAGGGUUAGCUUGAGCAGCCCACGACGGUCCAGAGCUUACUUCCUGUCUGGCCCAAGGUCCAGAGGAUUCACAGAUUUGAUCUGGGCCUCUUGAGGCUAAAGAAGGUCAGCUCAGCCCACGCUUCAGAACUUCCUUCCUUGCCUGCGCAGUAAUUUUGUUGUGAGCGGCCGUUUAAAACAGAAAAAGAACAGCCCAGUCCAUAGGCAGUAUUGGGCUAUCUAUUUCGGCCUAGGUCUCUUCUCACAUCGGCUCUUUUUUGGGCCAGUCCAUAUUGCGUCAGAAGGUUAACUGGGAAUUACUGUAUGUGCGUUUUCGUUUCUUUUUGCAUGGCCCCAUUCAAACGAGAAUCAGUUCAUACAUGACACAACAGCACAACAUUACAAAAAUUUUCUUGAUUUGGAUUGGAAGUUGUGUGCAAAUGGAAGCAAAACCAUAUGAUCCGUUACCUUAAAUUAGUGUUGUUGACGGACUGUGUCAAAUUGUUGAUUCAGAUUAGUUUUUUUUUCUAAGUCUAGAUUCUAAAAGGCAAACUUCUAUGUAAAUAUGAUGCUAGAAGUCAUUUUGCACAGAGCGUAGAAGUCAAGUUGAACAUAAGCUACUUCAAUUCGUGUAAAUUGGAUGCUUGGAAUCAAUUUGAGCAUAGCCUAUUUUCUAGAUAAAAAUAGCAAUAAGUUAAUUGUAACAUAAGCUAUUUUAAACUGUGCAAAUUGGAUGCUGGAAAUUAGAGCAUAUUUUUUUUAUAAAAUAGCUAGGAAUCAAUUUGAGAGUAAGCUAUUUUAUAGAUAAACCAAUACAGGAGUUGUAACAAUAUGUUUAAUAAAUGAGUUGUUAGUUAGACUUCAUAUUCCCUAUCCAAUGGAAAGGUUGGAUGGCUUCUUAUGUUGGAGAAGAGAAAAGGAGCAUCGCACUAACACACAAUUGGCAAUAAAGGGCUAGUGACGCCAAGGGAGGAGCACCUCAACAAUUGCCUACAUGCGCACCUGAUAUUUUCCGUACUAGUCCAUCAACCCAUGCAUCCACAUGAGUUUUAAACCUUCUUACUUGCAAACAAAAGAAAAUUAUACUCUCAUGAUAAAAAACAAUAGCCUGUCUGACAAAUGGAUGAAAAGUUAAAAUUCGGCACUGUUUAUAAUGUUUUAUGUUUUGAGCAUCAUGCAAUUUUCUUAUUACAACUUUAUUUGAGAACAUUUUCAUUCAAUAAGUAGUUAUUUGAACUUCAAUCAUCAGAAGCUCUUUUUUAAUGUAAUGUACCUCCCUACGAUACUUAUAUUCCUAGGAAAAGAGAAGAGCUCGAAGAAUUACACUGCGAAUAUUAUUCAGUAGUGUAACCCCAUCCCGUGAUGUCAUCCCUUAACCACCAUGCAAACCACCUUUCGUGCAGGCUCUGCUUAUAACAUAGGUGGUCGUGUCAGCUUCAAUUGAGGACGACAUGACAUGGGUGUGUCUAAUCAGCAUGCGCGCCAGCAACGAAUGCAACCAUCGAUUUCCGACAAAGCGAGUUUCCCUGCCUUCGCGCGCGAUGACUUUCCGCACAUGCGCCCUAGACAUGGUUCCACCAGCGGUCACCCACUAUCCCCACGCCUAUCCAGCAGUGACCCCGACGCAUUUCUCUCUGUAACACAACUUUUGUAUAUAAUUUAUACACAUAAAUUUAUAUAAGACAAAAGUUAUGCACACAACAUUAAAGAAAACACAUUAAAACACACAAAAUAUAUGCAAACGUAUAUACAACAAAUUAUGUUGAAAACUUAUGCUAAAUAUAAUCAUAUAACAAACUUAUAGACAUAACUUUUUGCAAAAAAAAUAAUCAAUAUAACUUAUGAAAAAAAGAAAAACUUAUGAAAAUGUAUUUAUAUAUAUAAAUUAUAUGCAUAACUUUUCCAAAUUUAUCGAAUAAAAAAACAAGGAAGAAAAGAAAAAAAGAGGUUAACCGGCCUCGCCGGUGCUGGGUCACCAGUGCCGCGUCAUUGCCUCCCUGGAUUCACCCUCCCGCAAUGGGCAGGUGUCCUGUGGCGAAGAGGAAGAGGAAGCGCCACCGUCGCACCCUCCGGAGCCACUGCCGCAGCUCUACUUAUCGGAAGCACACGUCAGUCCUCAUCUCGCCGGCCACCACCGAACGCGAGGCUUCCGGAUCCGACCUCCUCUUCGGCGGCACGCGACGUGAGGAGCUCGAGCUGCCUGGUGACGAAGGGGAAUGGGAAGGGGAGUCCGCAUGGUUGCCACGCGCGGAGCUCGCAGCGGCUCCUCCCGAACCUGACAUGAUUUCAUAGAGGAGAGCGAAGAAAACAAACCCUAGUAUCCCGUUUCUAUCAUAGGGGCGGCGUACAAAUGGAUUUACCUGAGAGUGGGUAAAGACCCGAGUAAUGCAUGGGCAUCACAAAAGGAAAAAUAGGUAUUUUGAUCCCUGGACUUUGUACCGAGGGUCAACUUCGUCCCUCAACUUUCAAAUUGGUCAAUUUAGUCCCUCAACUUUUGUUUUUAUUUCAAACUCGUUCUUGUAUUGAUAUGUGGCUCCGUAUUGGCAUGAAACUAAUACGAAAAGUCCUUUUUACCUUGACUCUUUUCUCUCUUUAUUUUUCGCCUUUAGAACUACAAUAACGUGUAUAUUUGCCGAGGAACUAUGAGGAUGCAUAUAUUUACCAUGAGGAUGCAUAUAUUUACCGAGGAACUAUGAAUAUAUACAUGGAGCAUGUAUAACACACCACGAGUGUGUGAGCACAUGUUGAUUUUAGAGCAUGCGUACACACAUUAAGUUGUAUAUAUACUAAAAGAAUAUGAUUAAAUACUUGUUUGAGUAUAGACAUAUCGAAUGCGUAUGAGCACAUGAAUGACUUUAAAGAUUACGAGUAGAUACACUUUUUAGAAACCAUAUUUUGUGUUAGUUUAAAAAAUAUAUUAUUGUGUGUAUGUAUUAAGGGAGUAUGAGCACAUACAUGUUUGAUCUACAUGUUCAUGGGCAAACGGGAUAUUUUCGCAUUAGGCUUAUGCUAACAUAGAAUACUAUAUUAGCACAAGGAUUUGUUUGACCCAAAAAUGAAUGUCAAUAUGAAAGUUGAGGGACGAACUUGAUCCCGUAAAAUUUAAGGAUAAAGUGGCUAUUUUGCCUAAAAGAAAUAUUAAUGAUCAAAUUACGCAUUGGUUGCACAUGCGAUACAACCUAAACGAUUUUUGUUGUCAGUUCGUAACCUGAGACGGUAUUCUCUGACCGCAGGCACGGAACCAUAACCAUCGAGCAGGAGCAGGAUAGAAUCCUGAAUUUGGCGAGGACGGCAACGCCGCAACGGCAUAUGCCAACGGCGAGACCCAUCACUUUCUCAUCCGGUUAUCCCCCGCGCUCGAUCUGGCUGGCUGCUGGCCUGCUGCUUGAACGGAACGCCCACCAAGCAGCAAGUAAACGGCACCGACUCCCAACCGGAAGAGCCGAGCCGAGCCAAGUCUCCUCCUCGUCUCCUCCCCAACCUCCUCCCCUCCCCUCCCGUUCCCGACUCGACCCCCCUCGCCUCUGACCCAGCAGGCUAGGGUUCCGCCCCCACCCCACCCGACCCCACCCCGAUCCGAUCCCAUGGACGGCGGCGACUCCUCCGCCGCCGGCGCCGGCGGCGCCGUGGCCGCGGCGGCCAAGUGGCGGAGCGACGCGUCGCGGGCGUUCCAGUACUACCUGGACCGCUCGACGCCGCACGCCACGGGGCGGUGGCUAGGGACGCUCGCCGCCGCCGCCAUCUACGCUCUGCGGGUCUACAUGGUGCAGGGCUUCUACAUCGUCACCUACGGCCUCGGGAUCUACCUCCUCAACCUCCUCAUCGGCUUCCUCUCCCCCAUGGUCGACCCCGAGCUCGAUCCCUCCGCCGCCGCCGAGGGGCCGGCGCUGCCCACCAGGGGAUCCGACGAGUUCAAACCCUUCAUCAGGCGCCUCCCCGAGUUCAAGUUCUGGUCAGAUCCCGCCUCCCCUCCCCCAGAUCUGUUUCCGCUCCUCGCCAGAUCCGCGUUUUUUUAUUUCUUAUUACUGCACCUGCUCCGGCAAUUCGCUACUUGCCCGUAUGUAUUUGCCCACUGGAACGGGGCGAUCGGGUCGGUUAGAUAGCUACUUGACAGCUUCUCGUAAUUUAUAUAGAGCCGUGUUAAUCGGCAUUUUCAAAACCGAUUAGUUUCCUUUACUACUCAAGUUACUAUUUCUCAGCUACUGCUGAUCCCCCUCCACAGUAAAUAGGCAUUUUUCUCGACCGUCUGUGGCAACCCACUGCCCUCCAGGUUCUUCCACUGAAUCAAUCAAUGGAAGACAUCGUGCAGUUCAUUCGGUUGAUGAGAAACUGGCAGGAGAAAACUUUUAGCUUGUAGAGCACAAAUCCUGGAGUGUGUGUGAUCUAUCAACAAUUGCUUUAGUCAUAGAAGAAAAGGGUUGCAAAAUUUUUCUGUUGGGAAGUUCGUGUGUCACCUGAUUAUGGUUGUUUAGUUCCAAGUCAGCUGACCAUGCAUUUAGUUGCACAAUCAUUGUCAAUCAGUGCUUAUUUGUGCUGCAUACUGAUUUGCAUAUCCUCCAGCAACCCGAAAACCAAGCAUUGUUGCAUAUUGGUUACCUCUUAAACUACAAUCAGUUCCUGAAUAAAUCACUCAAGGCAUGUUGCAUCCCUUCAAUUCCACCAUACCGUUUGGAAUUCCAGUGGAUGAAAAUGAUAUAAACAUACUCUAAUGAUGUUGUUGCACCACCAUGUAGCAGAGAAAAUUGUCACUUAUUGCUUCUGGUCCUCCCAGUUGAAGCGGACCGUCAGGUAGGUGGCAAUAUCGUUGUAUGCAAUGCCCAUGUGCUUGGUAACAGGGGGUUUCUUCGUUGAAACUAGAAUUAUUCUGAAGCGCCUUCGUUUUAGUUAAAAUAUAUCUGCUUUAAAUGGUGUCUAUCUGGAUUAAUCGGAAUUUCUGAAAUUUUUGGUGAAAUCGUUGUGAGGAGUUCUCUUUCUUUUCUCUUUGUUAAUUUGUCUGGGUCACCAUCACUUGUGGUCUCUGAUCUGCCUGGUGCAUAAUCCAUAUUUUUCUUUUUCCAAAAGGUAGCCAGACAAUAGCUUUUCAAUUUCCUGAUUAUUGCACAUUCAAGAACCUGAAAUCUCUCUCAUUGCCUAGUUACUCAACUACCCCUGAGCCUUUGUAGAUUGGUGAUUAUGUCUGUCUAGGCAAUUAGGCAUUGCCCAUGUGCUUGGUGCGGUGUUUUAAGUUAUACCUUGUCUUUAUCCUCGAUGUCAUUGCAUGUGGGAUGGUUUUGUGGAAAUCUCUCUAGCUACAUCUACAUCUACAUGGGAUGGAUUUACUGUAUAGCUAAAUAUGACAACUUAUAAGUUCGUAUGUAAUUUGAAUCAUUUAUAGUUUCUGUGAGCUCUAGUGGUGGAUUUCUUUUUAGACAAGUUUGAAGUGUUCUCGCUUUGGUAAGAGGUCAGAUAGAUGGAUUCUUAUGUUUUCUUUUUGAACUAAUUGUAGUUUUUGAAAUUUAUAGUAAUGCUUUUCAGAAGUUAUCUGUGAGUGGUUCAAUUUUUCAUCAAUAGUUCACCCUCACUAGUGUCGAGUAUUCUUUUCUUCAUUUUGUGCGUGUUGAGUAAACUAUUGCCAUCUGCAAGGUUUUAUUUUGGAAAUGCUAUUGGGUAGUAUGCAUAAAAAUGCAACGUAUGAAGUACUUUGACUGCUUUCUAUGUUUUCCGUACUCAAGUUUCCUCCUUUUAGGGUGUCAUUCUGAGUGUCACCCAUGUAAUGUGAAUUUAGAUGCAGCACAGCAUGCAAAAAUAUAAUGCAUGCGUAUUUGCUCAUCCAUUUUCGAGUAUUUUCUAAAAUAGUUGUUUUGUUUUGUUAAAUCUUAAUGCUGAAGAUCUUUCUUAAAGUUCCAAUCCAGUAUACCCCCCAUAACAACCAUUUCUUUGUCUUUCAGGUAUGCAAUCACAAAAGCUUUUGUUAUAGCUUUUGUGAUGACUUUCUUCUCUGUGUUUGAUGUUCCUGUCUUCUGGCCCAUACUCCUUUGCUACUGGGUUGUUCUCUUCGUCCUUACAAUGAAGCGCCAGAUUGUGCAUAUGAUCAAGUACAAAUAUGUGCCCUUCAGUAUUGGGAAGCAGGUCAGUACUACUGUUUAAACUUGUUGACUUUUGUUUAUUCGCUAAAUGGUUAUGUGCUGAAAGUCUACUGCUGUGGGUACCAAGGGGGUUGCAUGUUUAAAAACACAUGGACAGUGGGGGUUUUCUAGCAUUUUCAUUAAACACCAUCAGUUAUGGUCCCCAGAUCAAUUUUAUCUUUAUUUUGUGAUGUUCAAGAAAUGCUUGUGUAGUAGCUGCAAGUUGUUGUUAGGUGAAGUGUCAGUUUUUUUUUUCCAUUCCUCAUGAUUUGCCCUGACUGAUGCCAGAAAUAUGGUGGGAAGAAGAGCGGCUCGAGCAGCAGUUCCCCAAGAGACUGAUCCCGUACCUACCCGUAGGAAGCAUGGCAGGGGAACAAGAUACGGUGGAUGAUGAUAUUUGAUGUGCUAAAUACCAAGUGUAAUACUUCAUUCAUAUCUAGAGGUAGACGGAUAUUCGCUCCUGUUUCUGACUUGGGUUCACGGUUUAAUUCGAUAUUGCGCUUAGAAAUGCUUCCUUAUGUGCGUGUAUAGCGUGUUUCACUCUGAUAAAUUAUUUCGUUUAGUUAAGGCACCCCAUAUCUCAGGAUCCCAGAAAUAAGUGGCACGCGAAACUGUCCCAAUGGGAGGCGUGCCACUAGCUUGUCUUUGUACCAAACCGGAGCAGAAUGCCAAACUUUGAGCACUAAACUAAAAUUCAUUUGACUUUACUAUGUCUUAUAAACUUUGCAUAUUCAGAAAAUUUAUGGUCCUUCGUGUCGUUUAGAUAUUUAACGUGAAACGGUGAAAAUGUACCUCGUGUUUUGCUGUCUGGGUGACAACCGUCGUUGGUAACACAGUCCCCAAGAUGUACGCAGCGUGCGCGAUGCCCAGCGCGAGAGGAGCCUCUGCAGAAUCGUUUUCUCAGGAAGAACCAGGCAGGUCAUGUUUAGUUCCUCAAAACUUCCAACUUUCCUAACUUUGACACUAAGUAAAAAGAAGAUUUCCCAUCACAUCAAACUUGCGGUACAUGCAUGGAGUACUAAAUGUCGACGAAAUUAAAAAUUAAUUGCACAGUUUUGUUGUACUUUGCGAGACGAAUCUUUUAAACCUAAUUAGUCAAUAUUUGGAUAAUAAUUCACAAAUACAAACAAAAUGUUACAAUAUGCUACAAUACUACAAUAGUAAUUUUGCACCUUCAAACUUUGAUCAACUAGGCGCGUACUGAAACCUCGGAUCAUCAAAAGAGCAAGCAAAGUGCACAACAUGCCAAGGGACCGAGCAGACAUGACUUCAUCCAUUGGGCCAGAAUAGCAGGCGUGCAGGCAGCCCACCAAAGUGCUGCCUAGCCCAAGAAUGAUUUAUCUUCAACCUCGUUCAAUGCACGCCCUGCAUGCUCGUCGGUUCGUGUGCGGCUGCGCUAGGGGGGAUGGCAACGGGGCUAUCCCCGUCGGAGUCCGGCGGAACAUUCUGCCCCUUGAGUAAACUGUAAACUAAGGUCCCAUUUGUUUGGGCUUCUGGCCAGCUUCUGAACCGCCGAAGCUGGAAGUCCAAAUAAAGAGCAGGCUUCUCAGCGCAGCUUUUGCAAUGUUAAAAAUUCACAGAAGCUGCCGUAGCAUGGAAAGGUCGAAAGCGAGCGAAAAUGAGCUUCCGCUGGCUUCUGACGUCCCACUUCACCUUAUUUACCUGCCUGCCAUCGUGAAUAUACGCGGAUCGUUAUUUUUCUUUUCUUCCGCUCCCCCUCCCCCCGACCCAACCGGCCAACCCUAUCCACUCACGGCUCGCCUCUCGCCUGACGCCCGACGCCUCCCCUCCAUCCCCAUCUCGCCCGCCGCCUCCCCUCCAUCCCAUCGAUCCCCACGCACCCGUCGCUACUACCGUCGCGGCAUACUCCGUCCGCCGAAGGCUACCCGGGGCCGCCGCCAUCCAAGGCCUCCCGGGGCCGCCGUCGUCCAAGGCCAACCGGCGCCUCCUGUUGAAGCCGGCUCAGCCCCCUUGCUCCGCUCACCGUCCGGGCAACCCUUGAAGCCAACGACCCUACCCCUGCAGAUCUGCGCCGAGCAGCUCCACACGAGCCAGUUCCGAGGUGAGCAGCCCUUCCCCUCCUCGAUCUUGAGUUGUUCUAGCCUUGAACCAUGGAUUAGGAUUUGGAUUCACUGAUUAGGAUUUGGAUGCCUUUAACCAGUCAUUCACUGAUUAGGAUUUGGAUUCACUGAUAUAUGUUCUGAUUUUAUUCAAUUAGCUUGCAUUUCAAUUGUACAUCUCAGUAAAAUAUGAUGUAUAUUAAAGGGUUGAAUAUUUGAAGUUAAUACUACUGUUAAAGUUCAACUCAUACUUUUGGUUUGAUAAGCGACAAAACAUUGUUUGAUCUGUUAAAUAGAGGUGUCUUUAGAGGCAGAUUUGUUGAACCAAUAUUCUUAAAACUCUAGCAUUCACUGUUUGGUAGAUGAAAUGUAUGAAAUCAUGAACAAACACCUCUCUGUUUAGAUGGAGAACAAUAGAAAGGGCAAGGAAAAGAGGAAUGAAAAGGAUAAGGUCGUAUGCAAGGUAGAUUGGGAUAAUCCUGAGAUGACCACAAUAUUUUUGUAAAAUUGUUGUUGACGAGAUCCAUGCUGGGAAUAGACCCCUGGGCACUCUGAAUCGAAGAGGUUAUAAGAACUUGCGGGAGAAGUUUUUUGAGCAAACAAGGAAAAACUAUACCUAGAAACAGCUGAAGAACCGUUGGGAUAACCUCAAGAUCUUGUAUACUUUUCGGAAAUCACUAUAGACACUACUGGGGAAUUGUAGCUUUCGUCCACUGCAUUAAUGCUCAUAUUAGUACCGGGUCUAACGGAUAGUUUCUCAGGAGCCCCCCGUGACCCCUUUAGUACCGGGUGGAGCUCCCACCCGGUAGUAAAGGAGCUCCCAUCCACCUUAUCCAUGCCGCCCAGCCCGCUACCCGCUCCCAUCUUAUCUUGGCCUCCCCCUAUCUCUCUCUCUCUCUCUCUCUCUCUCUCUCUCUCUCUCUCUCUCUCUCUCAGCACCACCCCCUCCCCCUUCCUCUCCUGCUGCCGGGACCUUCUCUGCCUCCCCCCGGCUAGCUCCUCACCGGCAGUGAGGAACAGCGGUGGGGCGAGGUGAGGCGGCAGCGAGAGGCAAGUGGCAGCGAGGGGCAAGGGCGGGGCUCGGGCUCGAGCUCGGGGAGGGGGGGGGGUUGCGGCUCGGGCGGGGUGGGAUUUGUUUUUAUUUUUUAUUUUUUAAUACCCUUUUAGUACCGGUUAUUUCAACCGGUACUAAAAGCUCCCCUUUAGUACUGAACUAGCAAUAUCGGUUGCGCAACCGGUACUAAAGGGGGUUCCCAACCGGUACUGAUGGGGCUUUCCCCAGUAGUGGGAUCAAUUCUAGGCUCAGGAGGAAUCCAGAGUUGGGGAUAGUGACAACAAGUGUCCAAUGGAGGGAGGCAAACACAACGGUUAGCAAUCUAUCUUGUGUAUAUUUUUUGUAAUUCUUUGAAGUGUAUAUGUGCAAGUGACCAAUCUGUUUGUGCUCUUCUGUUGUUUGUGCAGGAACACAUGCAGAGUGACCAUAUAUUAUUGCUAACACAUGUGCGAUAUAUAGGAAAGUACUACCUUAUUGACUCGGGCUAUCCUAACCAGAAGGGUUUCCUUUCACCAUACAAAGGAGAGAAGUACCAUUUACCUGAGUUUCAACAAGGUCCUAGGCCAAGAGGUAAAAAAGAAGUGUUCAAUCACUUGCACUCAUCACUACGGAAUGUGAUCGAACAGUCCUUUGGUGUUCUGAAAAUGAAGUGGAGAAUACUAUUGAAGUUGCCUAGUUAUCCAAUGGAAAAGCAAAUAAGGAUUAUAAUGCAUGUAUGGCGCUACACAACUUUAUUAGAGAGAGUGCUUUGAGUGAUGAGCAUUUUGACAUGUGUGAUCAAAAUGAAGACUUUGUUCCAAGUGUUGGUGAAUCAUCAUCCUCUCAGCCGCAAGCAAAUGGACAAGAGGAGAGUGACAUGAAUGCUUUUCGUGAUAGUAUUGCCGAUGCUUUGAUUGCAAGACUAGUGUAAUAUGUACUCAAGAUGUGUCCUAAUUAUAAUUUAUGACUUCACAUGUACUUCAAAAUUAAUGGAUAAUGACCGAUGCAAUUUAUUAGAAUUGUACUAAAAAAAUCUCUAGUAAUAGUUUACAACAAAAUUACAAAUAAUACAGACACAUAGGAAAUACAUGUUGUUGUACACCUCCUCAGCAUAUACAUCCUCAGAGAAGCUAGGUUGCCAAACGCCUCAGCUUUGGGAAAAUCUAGCUUUCAGAAAGCCACCCUUCCAAGAGCAAAAGACAAAAGCUAGCUUUUAGGAAAGUUGCAGCUCAAACAAACAACAAAUAGGUGUAAAUCACCUCGCUCCCCAUCCCCGACAUUGCACACAGGGGCAAUUUUCCCACAUCCCCGUCCCCGUUCCCUAGCGGGGAUUAGACCCCCAACGGGGAUCCCAACCUUGAAAAAUCCCCGAUAUUCGUAGCUAUUGAUUUCUUUCUCUGUUCAAUCUUAGUAUGCAAAGAAAACUUUGAAAGAAACAUCCCAAGGAUUAUGGAAAAACAAAACACAGAUCAAUCGCACAACCAUAUAUACAUCUAUUAUCUAUACAAUUUGCUAGCCUUCUCAGUUCUCACGGAGCAAACAAAAGGAAUAAGAAAAUCCCUGCAAUCUUCACGUUGUCCUCUGAUUGCCUUUAAGACUCACCGUGGCAAGGCAAUAAAUGUCAAUCAUUCACCGUGCAAGGGUGAAGGGUUCACUGUGUGGCGAGAGCAUGCAACUGCGACCUGCGCGGAGAUCGACAGAUCUUCACUUCUGCCAGCACUGGCUCGGUGGAGGUGUUGUAGGAUUCGGAGGAAGCGGACAGGUUAGAAGCCGCAAGGAUGUCCUAGCGGACGGAUUAGAGGCCACGAGGAUGUCCCGGCCGUAAAAAUCAGAGGGGCUGUGGAAGGUUGAACCUUUAGGACCACACCUUUAUUUAUAUAGGUGAUAAGAACCAUCAUCGUGGCAUGUACAAGAUCAGCCGGCGGCCAGCCAUGAGUUUAUUGGUAAUCUAAACUAACCCUAGAUUACAUACAACAACCUUCAAGAUAUACAUCAGGCUAACAACAAACUAUGGUCGGCCACCUAACUUGAGUGACACGUUGCAUUGUUUAACAACCCCCUCAAUCACAGCUUUCCUAAGCUUUCCUAAGUUGAGAUUGUACUUGAAGUUCUCCAAUUGUCUGACCGGGAGAGUCUUCGUAAAUCCAUCUACCACUUGAUCACCUGACGGAACAAAGUCAACUUCCAAGAGUUUUCUGGCGACCCAUUCCUUGACAAAGCCAUAGUCAACUUCAAUGUGCUUCAUUCUUGCAUAGAAGGCAAGAUUAGAAUUAAGAUAUUUAGCACCCAUAUUAUCACACCAAAUUCGUGCCAUUGGAGGACUCUGAAUGUGCAGUUGCUUCAAAAGAGUUUGCACCCACAUAACUUCAGCAGUAGCAUUAGCAAUGGAUUUAUACUCUGCUUCUGUACUUGACCUGGACACAAUUGCUUGUUUCUUAGCAUUCCAUGACACAAGAUUAUCUCCCAAGAAAAUAGAAAAUGCUCCUGUUGAUCUUCUAUCAUCUAGGCAUCCUACCCAAUCUGCAUCUGUAUAUGCACUUACCAGCAUGGAUGUAGACUUACACAACUUUAAACCGAGCUUGGAACAGGAUUUAAGGUACCUUAAUAUUCUUUUUUACAGCCACCCAGUGAACAAUUGUUGGAGCAUGUAGGAAUUGGCACACCUUGUUUACGGGGAAAGCAAUAUCAGGCCUGGUCAAUGUCAGAUAUUGGAGAGCACCUACCACACUUCUAUACUGAGUAGAAUCAUCUAGUCCCAAAGGAACUCCCUCAUGUAUUGAUAGCUUUUCACUAGUAGACAACGGUGUGCUUACCGGCUUGUAGUCUCCCAUACCAACCUUACCUUCUUUAGGAGAUCCAAGACAUAUUUUUGUGUUAAGAGAAUUCCAUUGUGUAACUUGUGUACCUCUAUACCAAGAAAAUAGUGUAGAUCACCAAGGUCCUUUAGAGCAAAGUCCUUCUGAAGAUCCAGUAAGAGAGUCGAGACAGCUUCCGGUUUGGAGCUCACUACAAUUAUGUCAUCAACAUAAAUAAGGACAAAUAUCACAACACUCCCUUGAUAAUAGAAAAACAAAGUGGUUUUUGCUUUAGAACCUUUAAAACCAAGAUCACACAGUCUCUUACUCAAGCGAGAGUACCACUCUCGGGGUUCUUGCUUCAGUCCGUAGAGUGCUUUAUCUAAUUUACACACAUAGUUUGGACAUGUCUUAUCCUCAUAUCUAGGUGGCUGCUUCAUGUAGACUUCUACUUCAAGGACACCAUGAAGGAAGGCAUUUUGUACAUCUAGUUGUCGAAGAGUCCAACCCCUGAAAAUAGCAAUAGAGAGAAUAAUCCUAAUAGUAGCUGCCUUUACUACAGGACUAAAGGUGUCUUCGUAAUCUAUUCCAUAUCUUUGCUUGAAUCCCUUUGCAAUCAGUCUAGCUUUAUAUCUAUCCAAGCUGGCAUCUUGUUUUCACUUGAUUUUAUAAACCCACUUACAAUCUAUGACAUUCCUACCUUUUUGAGGUGGAACAAGGUGCCAGGUUGCAUUCUUUUGCAGGGUCAUAAAUUCACUAUCCAUUGCACUUUUCCAAUUAUUAUCUUGCAAGGCAUUUUCUAAAUUAUAUGGCUCACCAGUUGCUGUAAGAAAACUGAACUUAUUGCUGUAUUUAAUGGUACCAUCAGUGUAAGUUUUCUCCUUACGAAUACCACUUUGUAGGCGUGUCUUCAGUCUUGUGUUCCCCUUGCCGAAGAGACCACAGGGGAUCCGGGCUCCAGAGUCGAGGCAGAUUCGCGAGGAGGCAGCGCAGGGGAAGAUUCACCUCCAGGCAGGGUGGAGCCGGUGGCAGUGUGAUGUGUGGCGGGAAGGACGCCAUCGUCCGCGCGCUCCCCAGUCGUCGGGCGCAUGGCUGGUGGAGGCUGGGCGACGUGGAAGGGGGCACUGCCGGAUGUCCCCGGAGCUCCGGACACGGUGCACGUGUCAGCUGGCGACGGGUGCACCAGUGGGGGAUCCACCCUAGCAGAGCCUGUUGAGCCUGGUUUAGUGCAGGGAGCAUAUCCCGAAGAAGAUGUUAGUGCAGGAGGAUCUGCUUCGAUUUUCGUGCCCAGACCUGUAUUCUCAGUAUUUGAUGUAGGAAGCUCCUGAAAAGCACCGGUUUCUUCACAAAAAUCAUUAGCAGAUAAAUUAGGGAAAUUAGUCACAUGAUUACUCAGUUGCGGGGCACCAUUGCCUAGAGUAUUUGGAUUUAAAAGAGAUGGAUCUAGAAAAGAAAUUUUUGUUUGUAAUCGCCUGCUUGUAUUGGAGUGGAGUUUAGAGAAAGGAAAUAUGGAUUCAUCAAAACGACAUCUCUAGAGAUAUAUACCCGACCAGAUGAAGGAUCAAGGCACUUAAACCUUUGUGCAAGCUGCUGUAACCCAAGAAAGUGCAUUGUGUAGAUCGAAAUUGAAGUUUCUGAGAGUUGUAGGGGCGUAGGUUGUGCCAACAUGCACAACCAAAGACUCGUAGAGAUGUGUAAUGUGGUUUCGGACGGAAUAGAUGCUCUAGGGGUGUUUCAUGCUGAAUAACUCGACUAGGAAUUCUGUUGAUUAGAUAGACAGCGGAGAGAAAAGCAUCACCCCAAAAUUUGAGCGGCAUGGAUGCAUAGGCUAGAAGAGCAAUAGCUACUUCUACAAUAUGGCAAUGCUUUCUUUCAGCGGAUCCAUUUUGUUGAUGCGCAUGAGGACAUGAGACAUGGUGUGUGAUGCCAAUUUGUGUAAAAAAUAAGUUUAAUUUUUUUGAUACUCCUUUCCCGAGUCAGUUUGCAUGGCAAUGAUCUUUCUAUCAAAAAAUCUUUCGACCAGAUUUUUAAACUCAUGAAUUCUUUGGAACACAUCAGAUUUGAACUUCAAAAGAUAGAUCCAGAUAAACUUCCUGUAAUCAUCAAUAAAACUAAUAGAAUAUUUUUGUCCUCCAACUGAAUUGGGUGCAGGGCCCCAUACAUCAGAAAAGACAAGUUUCAAAGGAUGAGAGGAAACACUAGAAGACUUGGGAUAGGGUAAUUGAUGGCUCUUGGCCAUUUGACAAGCACCACACACUGAUUGUUUAUUCAAAUCAAAAGAACAAGGAAGAUUAAAACUACUGAUAACUUUCUCCACAACUGGGAGAGAUGGAUGCCCAAGGAAACUAUGCCAUUGCUCAUCAGAUGGCCUAACAACUCCAAAGGCUUGCUUUAUUGAAUGUGUAGACAGCAGGGGAUACAAUUCUUUAUGGCAGCUCCCUCUAAGAAGAUUUUUCCUCGUGGCCUGAUCCUUGAUCAAAAAGAAAUCAGGGUGAAGUUCUAGAAAGGAAGAGUUAUCAGUAGCUAAUCUAUGAAUGGAAACAAGAUUUUUACUGGCUUCAGGAACAUAGAGAACAUUUUAAGGAUGAAGAUUGUGGCUAGGGGUUUUAACAACUGAAUGACCAAUGCGACAAAUUCCCAUACCUGCUCCACUCACAGUUUGGAUAUGAUCAUUCCCCUUGUAUCGGUCAUGGACAGUGAGCUUCUCAAGAUUGGUCGCCACAUGGUCAGUGGCACCACUAUUUCUGUACAAGUUGGUGUCCACCCUAUAUGAUAUGGUUGCUAUCCCUGCAUAUCUCUCAUCAGGUAUUUCCAUCAUACCUAUGCCAGCAAUCUGUCACCAUGUGACCCUUCUUGAGGCACAGCUAGCACCUGGGCCUGCUGUCAGGAUUGCCCCUACCACCAUUGUACUGGCGAGGGGCGUUGCCGUUGCUGCGGGUGUUGUUGUUGCCGGCGGCCAGCCAUGAGUUUGUUGGUAAUCUAAACUCACUCUAGAUUACAUACAACAACAUUCAAGAUAUACAUCAGCCUAACAACAAACUAUGGCUGGCCACCUAACUUGAAUGACAUGUUACAUUGUUUAACACCAGCGUCGGCGCCAGGGAGAUUGGGGAGGGGUUGAGGCUUGAGGAGAGAGGAGAUCAAUGAACGGCCGUCGCAGUCGCGCGCUCAAGUACUCGUAUUCGCGUCGUGAGGAAAGAGGGUGGCGGGCUGGCCGCUGAGUGACUGGAGGAGACGAGGGGAUGGGGAGAGCUAGGGUUAGCAGAUCGCUAGCCAAAUUUUAUAUCAACUUGUGGGCUUUACCAAAUUUUCUUUGCUGGGCUGAUUUCGGCCUAUAUCUAAUGCACAAGCACAUGAAUUCGAGGCUCCCGCUGGGGAUCGGGGACAGGGAGCCAGGGAAGUCUAUUCCUAUCUGGUUUCCGGUGGCCCGUUAGCUAUAUGGCUUCCAUUGUUUGAGAUUCGUGCAAAGAAAUCCCACCCCUUGGUUGCACCCAUCUUCCUCAACCCUAACUUAGCCGUGCCCCUGUCCAUGGCCGCCGCCUCGACCCCGAGCUUGUCGCUCCCCCACGACACCUCCACCGGCGGGCCUAUUGCACCGCCGCCCAUGACUCUCGGCGCCUCCGCGCCCCAUGGCUAUCGGCCUACUGCCCGCGACCCCAGCGUCGCCGCCGCGCCCCAUAGCGCCUUCACACGUGACUCCUGGCACCUCCGCGUUGGCCUGCUGCCCGCGCGUCCAAAACCUGCCGCCGCCGCUGCGUCUUGGCCGCCGACCUGCCACAGGCACCCCCUGGUCAUGCUGUGGCCACGGCCUACCACCGUGCACGCCCUUCCACCGCACUAGCCGGUGCCGACGCCAGCGCGCAGCCUGCCGGCUUGCCGUGUGCUGGCGUCGGCACCGGAGAAGAAGCCACGACUAUUUUUUUUAAAAUGUUGAUGCAUUUGUGGAUAAAUGUUGAAUCCUUUUUUCAAAAUGUUUAAACGGGUUGUGAAAAAUAUUGAAAAUGGUAUACAUUCCAAAAAUGUUGAAUGUAGUAUUUUUAAAUAUUGAUCUAUUUCUCUUAAAAUGUUGAAUGUAAUUUUUCAUUGAUGAAUUUGGGCCUAUUAGUUGGGUCCAUUAGUUGGUCCUAAUGGACUUUAAAGCCAUGUUGCUUAGCUAGCACAUGGAAGCUACAUAGGAGCCCCCGCCAGGUAACGUCCCCGCCCCCGUCUCACCAGACAGGGAUGAGUUUUGACCUGCUAAGCUCCCCGAGGGGAGUAAAAUCACCCUAUUUACAUCCCCUAAUGGAUGAAUUCCCCACUGGGGAUUGGGGCCCCAUUGCCAUCCCUAGGCUACGUGAAGCCUGAGCCCUCUAGGGCAAUGUUAUAAAUUGUUUGACUAAUCACGAUUAGUCACGAUUAAUCGCCCUUAUCGGUUUCCUACCACCGAUAAUGCCCAACGAUUCGAUUUGGUCGAUAUCGUACAUACAUCUAUGGCCCACCAGGAGGUUUGGAUAGUUCUAUAUAUGGGGCUGGACAUCGAGACACAUCUUACAUGGAGACCAUGGCGCGGGACGGUGUAGUCUACAUGGAAGGACAAGAACUAGUUGGGAAUUAGGAAAGUACUCAUUGUAAUAAGAGAAUAACUCCUCUAACCGUAUCCAACUAGUAUUCUUGUAACCAACCGACCUGUAACCCUGUGCCCGGCUAUAUAACGCAAGGCAGGGACCCCCUCCAAAGCAAUUCAAUCCAACCAACACACAGGACGUAAGGUAUUACGCAAUUUAGCGGUCCGAACCUGUCUAAAUCGUGUGUCUGCGUUUACCUUCGAGUUCUUGAUCUCGACGAGCUGCACUAACCAAAACACUCCCUCGGGUACCCCCCUCGAUAGGGUGCCGGGUCUAAACACCGACAGCUAGCGCGUCAGGUAGGGGUUCUCAUCGAGAAUCCGCUGGUGAACUCGAUGGUACAAGUCAUCAUCAAGCCAAUCAUUGCAUUUGAAGCAGGCGCGACAUUCUUGUAACGACUCAGGUUAAUCAGCCAAGUUAAUCUUACAAGUUCCCAAAUCUGCAGUUCAAUCAGCCCCGACCCCUGAAACUCAACCCAACCGCCGUUUCUCUCUAAGUCCCGAAACCAGGGUUCCUUCAAAAGUGGAGCUUUGGGAGAGCCAGAGACUGGAAGUUGGACCUAGAGAAAGGAUUCCCCGGAUCUAUUAGGCCAAGCGCGCCAGAGCAAGCGUGCGCCCUACUUCAGAGCCCCGUCGCCGUGUGGCAUGGUAUCCCCGACGAGCCCCGCCUCGCCCAGUCGCUAGCCGCAACAGGAUGGAUCAGCGCACCUCCUUCCCAAUCACGCGCGGAAGCGCCCUGCAUCCCUUUUCCACCUCGUCUCAUCUCGCCUGCAACCUCGCCGGCUGCGCCAGGCGCCCUGUCGCCGCUGCGACCAAGGAUUAGCUGCUGCCGCGUCAGUUCGCCUCGUCUCCCGCGCACAUCUCCUCACCUGGAUCCCUGGCCUCGCGUCUCAACGCCUUUUGGCUUUUCUGUCGCCCCUUAGUUGUGCUGCCCACGCGCGCUCCCCGCGACGAAACCGCCUUCGCCAACCACGGCUCCAGCAGUGACAACUCCUUUUCCCGUCUCGCCAGUAGCGUGCCCCGGCAAAGCUGCUGGUUCGGCGCUUGCUAGCGUCGCCGCUCGCCUUGUCACCUCACCUGCAGCGCCCUCGCCUGCAGUGCCCCUUCCUUCCUUCCUGCCGCACGCUAGCCAAGCCGCCGCACCCAAUCCGCCGCUUGACGCGACCAGACCCGCGCUCACCCUCGCCAAUCUUUCCCUCUGGCAAAACCAUGCCUGCUUAAGCUCUGUCUUCAGUGCCCAAUGACCGAAGACCCUAUCCCUGAAGCUCCGCUUCGCCGGCCAAUGGAGGCAUCGACCAAUCGCCGCCCCGGCAGAGCACUCCAUUCUCUUCGACCUGAUCCUCGGGCUGCCCGAACUCCUUCUCUUCCGCGCAGCUAUAAAAGGGAGUACCCGAGCCUCUACCGGAGUUUCCUUCGCCAUCGUUUCCUUGCCGCACCUUCCUCUGUUUCGCACUCAAGCGCUGCCGCAUAAGCUCUUGAAGAACUCCCCUCUCUGCUCAACACCCACCUUUCCCAACCCGCCAGCCGCUUGUUCCUCCGCACUGUGCUAGAGCUUACUUGUUGUCCACAAGAAGCACCGCCGCCGCCGGAGCACCGCCGGUCCCAGCCGCCGCCCAAGCCUUAGCGCCUUAAGUCUUUCCGCCUGAGUCUGUUCCUUCCCGACCCCAAGACUUCACCAGUAGGCCCAAGGGUAAGCCGCCGACCCCUUUCCGUCUUGCCCGACCCCUAUUUGUUUCGCCGACCCUUGUCCGCCUCGUCUGAGGGCUCGGCUGUAUCCUUUUCUGUUGACCAAGGAUAUCUGUGUAAAAUUUUAGGGACUUCUCUGUGUUAUGUCUAAGGACCCCGGUACAGUUAUUCCUUAGGUCUGAGGGUCAGAUCAUAAGUUUUUCCCGAUCCGACUCCUUUAUCUUGUUCUCUAUCAACAGAAGCUUAGGAUUUCACACCUUUCCUGUAGUUUUGCCACAAGUUUCUAAGCUUAAGCUUGCAAGUGUUGUUGAAAUAACCGUCUAAGUGUUUAACCCCUGCAUUUGCAUUUCGUGUAGAGCUCAACCUCGCCGAGGGCACCUACGAGCUGCACCCGGUGCCAGAAGAUGAAGUAGUAGCUGAGCUGCCGACCGUAGGAGCUGAAGCAGAGCACACUGAAGAUCAGUUUGCUUCCGCCCCACUCGAAGGCAAGCCCCGAAGCAUAACCCAACUUUUCUAAACUUGAGCAUGCCUUCCUUUGUAUGUAUGUGCAUUUAUGUUACAGGAGUUGUUUGAAACCAUAAAUGCAUGACUUAGUUCCCUUGAUCUGAACACUAGCAUGAUAAGUCCGAGUAGUUGCAGUGCUUAACAGGACCCGGUAAAAGUCGAGUGAUUUCCUAUCACUCGCGAGUUAUAGGAGUUGUUUGUUCUCCUUCUGGUUACAACUAUAAGGACGGUGGACGGAGCAGAGCCUUGUGAACUCUUUUGGUGGUCGGUGGAUCGCCCUGUCUGUCUAUAUGAAAUUGCUUAAGGUCGGAAAGUGUUGGUGUUCGUGAUCAAGUGUUUGAAAGUACUAAUCUCAUACCUAGUAUGGGAUGGGGAAGCCUAGUACCUGAUUGAACUAGGGCGUGGCUUAUACCCCUGCUGUCCCUGGAACGAGGUUCCCAUGGUGCAUCAUGUGGGUGCAAGUGCUGUCACAGUACGACAAGAGGUCGGGACUGUGGAGCAUUGCAUGCUAAGGGAAGUUUGGACCUGACACGUGCCUGGGAAUUGAUGGGGAUGGCCGACACAGGAAGCGACCCUCUGUGGUGUGUGGAUGUCGUGAGAUUAGGUUCACCAUGCAUGGUUAAGAAACUCAAAUCAAUUCAUCUGCCUCUCACAGUUUGAGACUGCUUGAUCGCUAUGCUACACUGAGUAAAGAUGGAACAUGAUGAUGAUAUGAACUUUGAGGCUUGUUCUAUACUUUUGUUUGGAAUCUAUGAUUGUUAGCAUAAGCUGCCAAUAUAGCCUGGUUAAUGAACUUAGAAUCUGAGCUAAAAUAUUGAAAGUAAGGACCUACUGUAGUUGCUUUUAGCAAAACAAACCCCUCAGCUAAAGAGCCUUGCAUGUCUAGAAGUUGGUGGAGUAGUUUUUCCCACCGGUCGGUUAAGUCUUGUUGAGCUUAGCAGCUUAGCCUUGCUUGUGGCAUCUCUUUCAGGUGAAGUUGAAGCUUCUGAGUGUGCUGCUGUUGGCACUUGGCCGCCCCAGCUUCCUCCUGGGUGGACGGUCGAGUGGGAUCCCUCCUCGGACGGUGAGGAGAGGGAUCAUUGAUGUCUUGAUCGGCCUCAUCAGGGACAUCCGACCCAGCGCUAGCUUCCGCAGUUCUGUUUUAUCUUUUUCCGCUGCUUGAACUCUGUAAAACUUUGGUAUUUCCGAACCGGUGUUGAUGAACUUAAUGUACUUGUUUAAGUGGAAGAUCUGUUGUAUUCUCUGGAACCACUCACUUUCGUGUGAGCUAUGCUAACUCGGUUUGUAUAGUGGUUUAUCGGAUGAAAUCCGACGGAUCGUCGAGUCAACUUGAUUAAAGCAUAUGAUCGCGUGUUAGGCAACUUAAAUGUGCUUUAGCUAAGUUAAUCCGAGGUGUUCCGCCACAGUUCCUCUUCGGCUCCUAGGUUUGCAUCGCAGACGGUGUUGGAAAUUUCUGCCGCUACAUUGCGUUGACCCCGAAGAAGAAGCAGCAAACCAUGAAGCUCCAGCGCCAAGAUCUAGAGGAUCUCGUCAAGAAUUUUGGUGAAUUUUUAUUUCUUGACCUAGUCAGAGGCUAGGGGGACGAGUCUGAGUACAGCUCGACUUCUUCCACCGGUCGGAUUGACUUGCACGAGCUGGUGCAUAAGCCAUCGUGUGAGUCGGAUUACCAUCUGAGUCGAUUCCUGUUUGGACUCCGCAAUGUGACCACUGUUUAUCAGGCGGCCCUAUCCAGAUAAGAAUCCGAUAUGGAUAUGAUCGAGGACCUCGACUACUACUCGGAUCCGGAUGAGGAGACUCCUUUAUCAAGUCUGCAGCAGGGCCUGGUAAUCACAUCAACUCCUCAAGGCAGAUUCUUCUACUGGCCCAACAUGAAGCCACCCGCUCUUGCCAAGGACGAAAAUUCAUGCCUCAUCGCCUACCUCGACACUUUCUCGUACCAGGAGGGAGCUUCUCUGUCGCCCAUCUACGAGGUAGGCGACACCAUAGAGGUCAUGACUUCAAGCUCGGGAAGCUACUCUCCAGAGUAAGAACUCUUCGCCGUCAUUGCUGGAGAAGAGGACGAAGAAGAAGAGCGGCGGGACAGAAACUCGCGACAUGAGCGUCACCCAGAUGAUGUCUUGCAGGAUGAGCUCACCGCCAACAUUGUCAGAGAAGAGACCGAAGCUCAAAGAACUCAACAACGAGCAAGAAACGCCGCAAGAGCAGAGCGCCCCCGCUGCCUUGCAGCGGACCUACCAAUCCAUAACUUGGAUAAUGCCUUUGAAGCAGUUCAAACGCGUCACCAUCAUACUCCCAUGGCUACCGUCAUGUCUAUUGAUCUCAUCACCCGCACGAUGCCCCAGAACAAGUACACUAGACAGUUGGUUGAACUCGCGUAUGAACAACUCGAUCAGCAGAAUCCGAUACAGCCAGUCCAAUACUCCGCAUCCCAGCGAAGUCAACAUGGUAGUAGCCAAAGAGGCACUCUGUUGAGACUGAGUCAACUCGGAGGCACCAGACGAAGCCAAGCUGGAGCUGAAGGUAGUCGGGCAGAACCCUCGGGAUGUCGUGGCCACCAUGGGGCUAACCCAAAGCCUAAACGCCCAGUAGGAGACCUCUACAACAAGAUCAUUGCCAGCCGCGACGCCCGUACCAUCAUCGAUGAACGGUGCCGCGAGCGCGAUCAAGAAGUCAAAUGCCUAGGAGAUGGUACUGACGGGUUCCCCGCCUUCUCCAGACGUGUGAGGAGGACAACUCUACCUGAAAAGUUCAAACCCCCAGGCAUCACCAAGUACAAUGGCAAGCAAGACCCAGUCCAAUGGCUCUGGUGCUACUCGCUGUCAGUACAAGCAGCUGGGGGAAACAACGACACCAAAGUCGUCUACUUCCCCAUCUGCAUGGAGGCGGCGCCACUCACAUGGCUCGAAUCGUUGGACAAGAACUCCAUCGACUCAUGCAAGGACCUCAAGGUGGUGUUCACCAACAACUACAUGGGGGCAAUGCAGCGUUCAGGCAACUGGAUCGACUUGUCUUAGGUGAAGCAACAAGAAAGCAAGACCCUGCGAAGCUACUUACAUUGCUUCUUCGACAAGAAGGCCACAAUCGUGGAUGUCAUGGAGCGUGACUUCGUUGACCGCUUCCAGAAUGGCCUCCACGACCGCUAGAUGUUUUAGGACAUCGGCAAAAGAUGCUUCGCUGAUGUGAAAUCUCUCAAGAUCAUGGCAUGGACGUGGGCAGAUGAAGAAGAUAGGGAGAUCGAAAGGUUCGAGUUCAAUCGCAACAAGGGCUAGAACAACAACAAUCAGAACAACGGCCAACGCAACAACAAGAACUGCAACGAUCGCCCCAGCAAUGACAACUGAAAUAACUACUUGGGAAGUAAGAACCACUUGCGUAAGCUAGACAAUACUGUCACGGAAAUCUCGCAGUCGUCCAAGAAAGGUGGCAGCAAGAACCAAGAUAAACCCUCAUUUAAUGAGCUCUUGAAGAAACAGUGCCCAUGGCACCCAUACCACAAGCAUGCUGCGUUAGACUGUUUCAGUCUACGCAGAGUCAUGAAGGACCUGCCAGAGCUAUCUGGUACCAAAGACAAGGGAAAGACCAAGAAAGACAAAGAUGAUGGUGACAAUGGUAAGUUCUAGAACCCAUCCAACACCAUCAACGUCAUCUUCGGUGGAACCCCGGGUACUGCCACUAAGCAGUUCUAGAAGCUGACUCUUCGAGAGAUAAUGUCCAUUGAACCUGCGGUGCCAACAUUCCUCAAAUGGUCCGAGGUGCCAAUUACCUUGUCCAGAAAGGACCAAUGGACUAGUUUCUCAGACCCAGGAUAGUAUCCCCUCGUCCUGGACCCGGUCGUCGCUGGCUCAAGACUUACCAAAGUACUCAUCGACGGCGACAACGGUCUCAAUAUCCUGUUCGCCAAUACACUGAAUAAGAUGGGCCUCGACAUCACCGAAUAUGAUCACACCAAGAAACUCUCCAUUUUAUGGGAUUGUCCCAGGCAACAUGGUUGUAGCCCUCGAACAGGUGGUUUUGCCAAUUACCUUUGGGACCAAAGAACACUACCGGACAGAAUACAUCCGGUUCGAGGUGUUGAAUUUCAAAACAUCACAACACACCAUGCUCGGAAGACCAGCAUUGGCUAAAUUCAUGGUCAUCCCACACUACGUGUACUUAGUACUCAAGAUGCCAGGAUCCAAGGGAGUAAUCUCCCUGUGCGGAGACUUGAAGAGGUUGUACAACUGCGACACAGAAGCCAUGGAGCUAGCAGCAAUUACUCAAGUACCAAACUUGAUGAUGCAAGUCUUCACUGCAUCCAAGAAGUUGUCUCCAUCAGUGCUCGAGAUUCUAGAAAAGAAGUCGGGGGCAACCAAGGGCAAGCUAGCAAGUGAACUAGACAUCAAAGCCUUUGACCUUAAGACUGGUGACAGCUUCAAGACAGCCCUGAUUGGCAUAGGGCUAGGUCCUAAAUAGGAAGGCGCGCUUGUCAGGUUCCUUCGGGCCAACCAAGACAUCUUCACGUGGAACCAACAGACAUGUCGUGGGUGCCCAGGAGUUGAUCGAGCACUCACUCAACAUGAAUCUAAUAGCUACACCAAAAAGGCAACACCUACGAUGAUUUGCCCAAGACAGAAGGGAAGCCAUCAAGAAAGAGCUGGCCAAACUACUCGCGGUGAGCUUCAUAAAAGAAGUCUAUCAUCUAGAGUGGCUCGCCAAUCCCAUCCUAGUGUGAAAGAAAAAUAACAAAUAGUGGAGGAUGUGUGUUGACUACACAGACCUCAACAAGCACUGUCUAAAGGAUCCCUUCGAGCUCCCUAGGAUUGAUCAAGUCAUUGACUCCAUAGCUGGAUGUGCCCUACUCUAUUUCCUCGAUUGAUACUUAGGGUAUCACCAAAUAGCUCUCAAGGAGGAAGACCACAUUAAGACCGCGUUCAUCACCCUAUACGGAGCUUUCUGCUACACAACAGUGUCUUUCAGGUUGAAGAACACAGGAGCUACUUAUCAACGGGCAGUCCAGGAGUGCUUCAAGAAGCACCUACACCGCAACAUGGAGGCGUACGUGGACGACGUGGUCAUAAAGACCAGAAAUCCCGACGACCUGAUUGCGGAUCUAGAAGAAACUUUUGCAAGUCUGCAAGAGUUCCGAUGGAAGCUCAACCCGACAAAUUGUGUCUUCUGCAUACCUUCCGGGAAACUACUCGGGUUCAUCAUUAGUCAUCGAGGCAUUGAAGCUAACCCCGAGAAGAUCUCCUCCAUCACCGAUAUGCAUGCCCCAUCAGGCAUCAAGGACAUCCAGAAGCUGACUGGAUACAUGACGGCCCUCAACAGAUUCAUCUCAAAGCCCCAACUAGUAUGAUGUGAUCCCUCCUCAAAUCCCCCACGGAUUCGACUUGAAUUUGUAGUUUUCCUAAAGACUUGAGUUCUUGGUAGGGUUUCAGUGUUCUCCAAAAUUCGUUAUGAAUACUUAAGCUUUUCGAAGUGAGCCUUUGGGAAUAACCUGGUAUGUUGUUAUAAGUUUAUGGUUCAAAUUUUGUAAUUUUUGGAGGUCGUUUGAUCAAGUUUUGAAUUGUUCCGACUUGUUCACGCAGACUGUUUUUGGAGCUGCGGAAUAUUCCAAAGAAUUUUCCGAAAAAUUCUGUAGGUGCGAAGAUUUUUUCGGAAAUUUCGUAGGUGUGGAUUCUCCAAAGGUUUGUGCAGAUUCUCCGGAAGUUGCGGAUUAUUCCGAAGAGUUUUGCGGAGUUUCCGUACUUUUGUGUUGGUUUUCCAAUCUCUUCUUCCGACACUUGUUUGGGUUUUCUUUCUCGCUUCCGUUAGUUUCUAAUUUGGUUCCUAGCACCAUUUCUAGAUCCAUUAGCUCUUGCAUAGCUAAGGGGACUUGAUAUUGCUAGAAGAGAGGUUUGUGGAUUGGUUUGAGACUAUAGCCGAGGUUAUUUGAAGAAAUUUGAAUUGGCUCCCAUUCACCACCCUUUGGUCGCCCGUUCCGAUCCUUCACCGUAGAAUCCUUGCUUUUGCUAUUUAUUUAGGUUUCAUCCGUUUCCAUUGGACCCAGAAUCCUUGCUUUUGCUGUGUAGGUUUCAUCUGGUUUAGUUUUCUGUUGGUACAUGGACAUAUGCUUGUACAAAAUCCUUGCUUUUGCUUAUCAUCUAUAAUCAUUGUUUGCACACCGAAGCAUUUUUUUAAACUUAGAUGCACUCUUGUACAGGAAAACAGAUCUUGGAGGAAUGCUGGUGAAAUAAGUAGGGAUGGAAUUUUGGGGCGAAGCAGCUAGAAGUUCCAGGGGAGGGUGAACUUGCAACCACAAGCCUAACAUCAUCUGGAUAUUCUAUCAGAUAGCAUCCACACAAAGAUACAUAGAAGUACGCAGCAAAGCGCCGCCAGCGACGUCAGCACGCCCUUGUGCCCCUGCAGAUAACGUCCAGAGGAGCCUGUCGGCAGCAACCUGUCGAGGUACUCGCUGACAGUGGUGUACUCGACGUCCGGGUAGAGCUCGCCGGCGGCCGCCCCCAGCGACGGCUCGAUCUUGAAGUUUGUCUCCCCCAGGAUGUACGCCGCGUGCCCGAUCGAGAGCGCGAUGCCCAGCGCGUGAGAAGCCUCUGCAGAAUCAUUUUUCCCCCCUUAACAUUUCACAGCAAGUAAAUACAAUGCAGAUGCUGUCUUCUCAGGAAGAACCAGAACCAGGCGUGUCCUACUGACCUCGGAUCAUCUUGAGGACGGCGUCCUCGGCGACGUACACCCGCAGGAACGUCCGGCCGGUCUUCUUCUCCCACAUCGACAGCAGCUCGUUGUGCGACAGCGUGUUGGCCGGCGGCUUGACGUACAGCAUCCGGCCCGCCGCGCGGGGGUCGGCGGCGGCCCGGACCGUGUAGGCACCGACGUCCUCCUCGGCCACGUACGACACCUUGGUGUCGCCGCCGCCGAGGACGACGGCCUCGUCGGCGGGGGGCGCCGGGGACAGCACCUGCCCGACGCUGGGCAGCGCGGCGCCGGCGAGGUACCCGCACAGCACGUAGGUGUGCGGGACGCCCGCGGCCUCCACGGCGCGCCGGACGGACGCCUUGCUGGCGUAGACGGUGGACCUCGCCGGCUCCACGGCGGCGGUGUGGUCCACGUCCGUCCAGAACUCCGACGGCAAGAACCUCUGCACGUAAGCAUUUACAAGCACGCCGGCCGCGAGCGAGCUUGCGGUCAACGAAUCACUGAAUCGAAGCAUCGAAGGCAGUGCAGUGAUGCGAGUAAACAAAGGUUGCUACCUUGACGCCGCCGGCGUCCUUGAUGGCGGCGAUGAGCCGGGUCUGGUCGGCGAUCUGCCGCGUCCCGAGCGCGGAGAUGACGACGUCGGCGGCCUUCAUGGGGCGCACCAGGCUGGUGUGGUCGUAGAGGUCGCCCUUGACGAGCGUCACGCCGGCGUCACGGAAGCUCCGGAGCAGCGCCGCCUUGGCCGGGUCGGAGGGGGCGGUGUCCCUGACGAGCGCGGCGGUGGGGUGGCCCAGCCGCGCGCUCGCCGCCACGAUGUGCCUGCCCAGGCGGCCCGUGCCGCCGAUCACCAGGAUCCUAGUCUCCUCAUUAGGGGACAUCUUGGUUCCUUUGCUUGUGAGUAGUGACCGAUCGAUCGAUUCGCGGCUCACCGAGAAGAGUGAGUGAGUUCGCUAGACUCGACGUGUGUGGCCGGUUUAAGAAGGGACCUGUCUGCCCGUUCUUAUCGUGAUCGGGAGUGACUCAUUAUUAGCCGAUUUCAAUGCGCCAACAUUGAUAUCGAUAUAGUUAACUACCACGCGAAACACGGGCAACAAUAUAGAAAUACAGCUUCGUUUCAAAAAAAAAAAAUAUAGAAGUACAGCAUAAAUCAACAGUUGAUGAUGUUCCCACUCCAUGGCUACGGUUCAAUUUGAGUGCUGUUGUCAGGAAAUUGACAAAUCUUCUUCUUCUUUAUGUAACUGUACAAUGCAAAUGGUUUUAUUUUUUUCUUCUUCUUGAUGGUGAAAUGGUUUCAGUCUGAAAUCCGUUUGAAAAUGAAUCCUCUAAUGCAUAUUUGGCUAAACUCUGUGGCUUCAGAUUAUGAAUCCAACUGCUUAAGAUGGUGUUUGGCAUCACUCCAAAAACCAGCUCUACUCCACCAGCUCCACACUUUUCCAGCUCCACUCCACCAACUCCAGAAAACUAUGAAGCUGCUGUACACAUUUGGUUGUUUAUAGUGCUCCAACUCCAAAAAUACAAGAAUUUGGUGGGAAAGUUCUAUUUUACCCAUGAUGGAUAGCUGGUUCUGUUUUUAGCAUUGUGGAGACUCCUUUAUUUAUUUUGACGUGCUGCAGUAAUUCGCUACAGGAAUUAUUUUUUAAAAAAAUGUCCAACCCGAUAAUGUUUUGCCAAAUGAAAAGUCACAACAAAUACGGUACAAAAUCAACCUUGCCAUUACAAACUACUUCCAAGGAAGAGAGUGCGGUGGCUAGCUCAUCACGAAAGACAUCCAUAGUUGGUGCGUUGAGUGCCGAAGUUGACCCAUCCGACGCCGCUUGUGAAACUGCAUAUUUGUUAUAUCUUUUCGGUACUGUAGGAACAAAAUUAGGAUCACGAUCAAACCGAGCAAAGUCUUCAUCUUCACCUCCAUGUUCACGAAUGAAAUUGUGAAGGACCAUGGUAGCCACAGCAAUCAUCUUUUGCUUGUACAUGGGAUAUGGUAGCAUCUUCCAAAGAAUUUGCUACUUCAUUUUUAAUAAUUCAAAAGGUCACUCAAUCACAUUGCAGAUAGAUGAGUGAAUCCGAUUGAACCUUUCCAUAUGAGUCUUAGGUUCGGUACCUUUAUGCCAUUCAGGUAAAUGAUACCUUUCACCCUUGUAAGGAGCGAGGUAGCCAGGAUGAUUAGGAUAUCCCGCAUCCACAACAUAAUAUUUGCCUAUAUUCAGAUAAAAAUAAUAUGAGUUAUGGAUUAAUGCUACAUGUUAAUCACAUUUGUAUGUUCAAAUUGAACACAUGUUACCUUGUGCAGGAUGUGGAAAAAAUCUUCAUCAACUCUGAGUGUAUUGUACAGCACACUUGUGUCAUGCAUAGUUCUAGGUUGGCCCAUGAAAAUAUAAGUGAAACGCAUGUCAAAGUCACAUACUGCUAGUACAUUUUGAGUGGCUACCCUAGUUUUUCCAAUAUACACUUGCUCAUAAUGUGAAAGAGUGACACGGAUAUGAGUGCCAUCAAGUGCACCAAUACAAUAUUUGAAAUGUGGAUAUGCACAUUUGUCAUAUCUUAUCCUUUUAUGGACCGUGGAGUAGUUGAAAUUUUUUGGUCUAAUGUAAUCUUUUGCCAUAACCAUCAAAGCAUUUAGAACCUCAUCAAAUUUCCUACUAAUAGUUUCACCUGAAUGCUUAAAUCUAUUUUGAGCUCUCCUAUUAGACUCGUUUCCAACACAUGUGUAUAGGAACAUAGCAAGCAUCUCAUAUGUGGUUAUGUGCAUAGAAGAUUGCAGCCCAUACCUUUUCAUCAUGUCAGAAUUUGCCACUUCAUCUAAUCUGUCAUGUACACUCAUUAUAUAAGAAGCAAAUCAUAGUACAACUGUUUAGCUUAUGCAUGUCAUGUACACUCAUUAACCAAAAAUGUAAAACCUAAUCCCUUACCACACCCUCCUACAUUACAGAAGUAUUUUGUGAGAUGCUCUAUUAAAAAAAUGAAGUAUUUUGUAUGAUUCAAUAUUCUAUUAUUAACCAUGAGAUGAAAGCAUCCAGUUACAUUAAUUUGCUACUUUCUUGAAUGAUCACAAUUCACUAUACAGAGUUUGUCAUCCACAAGCAACACAAGAAAGCAACACAAGAAAGUUUAACCGGUUGCUACCAAUUUCCAUUCACAUUCUGAAUUUGAAUAGGAUGCUCAGUUUGCAUUACCGUGUCAGGAGCAUUUCUUUUUUAUGCCUUCUUCAACCCUGUGUGUUGUGCAGCAGAGACGGCAACAUCUUGGGCGGUGGGCUUGCUGCCAAGCCCGGCCACAUCCUCACUGCCAAGCCCGGCGCCUGUAACAACUCUACCUAAAUUAAGUGCUUUAAUCCUAAACCAGUGUCAAUUAAACCCCUAAGCUACGAAGUGAAAUGACCUUUUUAAACCUAAGAAGCUCUCUUUUGGAGUUUGUUUUAAAGCUUGAAAUUCUAUAUACAAACUUAAGUUUCUGCCCAAAUAAGAGUUGUAAAACUUUUAAUUUCCCACAACUUUUGUUAAAGGCACCUUGUCUAAGUCGGAGUGGAAAGGAGUCAGAAACAGCAACCCAAGCCGGUUCUCCUGCAGGACCCUGAAAAUCUUUUAAGUCCUGGAAUUUGAGUUUUCCUCCAUCUUUGCAAGCUUUCAUCUCCCGUUUUCCUAUCUAAACUCGAGUCAGAGCCUUAAUAGAAGUUGUAGUACCUCAAGAGUGUUCCAGCUUUGUUACACUGACCCAGAUCCAAAUCGGGCCCGAACUUGUUCAAAAUCCCGGUCAAAGUGAGGUAAACCAGUCAACUCACCCCGGAUGCUUAAAAAUCCUAAGUCUGGAAUCCCAGAUUUUUGGCUAAUUUUGGCCGGAAAUAUCUUUGAAUCCUUUCACAACCUAAACCGACACCUUAAACAAAGUUUGAAGGAUUACCAGAGUUGAACAAGUUUGUUUAAGGGCGUUUCGGGUGUUGUGUUGAAAGAUUCGGAGAAGGAUCGCUCCAAAGCUGGUCUGGCUUGCAGCCCGAAGGGAGCCUCGACGCUCGCGCGCCCGAGCAUGUUCGCUCGCGCGCUGCGUGGCCGCCGGCCACCAGCAGCUCGCCGGCGCCCUAUCCCCAGCGCGACAGCGACCGGACAAGAGCCACGGUGCCCAACCCGCACCCGCGACAGGACGGAGCGAGCGAAGGGCUAGCCAAUCGUCGGCCGAGCGCAAGUCACCUUCCGUCUGCCACGCUCUGCUCCGCCAAUCCUGUUCCGCCCGUUCGCCGAGGAAGCUGAGAUGCCCCCGACAUCCCGCGUCUCCGCCCGCUCGCCCAACCCCCGCGGUAGCCUUUCCGCAUCGCCCGCCCGACAGACCGGAAGCCCCACACGCUCGCCGCCCAAGGCCAAUCGCCGCCGAAGACCACCCGGAGCUCCGCCUCCUCUGCCCAAUAGCGUCGUCGGCCAAUGGCCGCCUCGCUCAAGCACUCGCCGCUCCCGGCCUUAUCCUUUCCCCACCGGAGCCCCGCCUCGACCCUCCGCGCCACCCCGGGCCUAUAAAAGGGGACCCCCUCACCGGCAAUGCCACCCCUUGCCACCGCCCGCACCUGCGCCGCCGCUUUCUCCUCUGCGCCCUGCCUUCUCCUCUGAGCCACCGCUUUCUUUCCGCGCCGUCGCUGAGCUUCCGUGGAGCUCACCCCCUUGCGCCACCACCACACUCCGGCGACUUCGCCGCCACCCCAAGCCGCUUCAUCCGACACACCCGCCGCUGCUCCUCCGCGCGGUACUAGAGCUUGCUUGUGUCCACCAGAAGCACGCCGCCGCCGGACCACCGUCGAAGUCUCGCCGCCGCCCAAGCCUUCGUGCAUACAACCUUCCCGCCCCAGCCUGUUCCUGUUCGGCCCCAAGGCAUCGCCGGUAGACAUGGAGGUAAGCUACUUAACCUCCCUGUCUUUCCGUCCCGCCCGACCCCUGUCCUUGUUCGGUUCGUCCGACCCCUCUCCGUUCGGUUCGUCCGACCCCUUUGUUUUGGUUCGUCCGAACCCUUUGUUUCGGUUCGCCCGACCCCUUUUCUUUUCGUCUCGCCCGACCCUGCCAAGUUUCGCCGACCCUCUCUCCGCCUCGCCCGAGGGCUCGGUUGUAAUUCUUUUUCUUUGACCCGAGGGUAUCGGUGAAAUGUUUUCGGGGAUUCCUCUGUGUUGAGUCUGAGGACCUCGGUACGGUUUUCCUUAAACCUGAGGGUCAGACCCUAAGUUUUCCCCAAUCCGACCCUUCCAUCCUGCUCUCCACAUGCAGAAGUUGAACUCCCCCACCUUUCCUGUAGCUUUGCUACAAGUGUCCAUGUUAAAGCAUGAGAAUGUUGAAAUAACUAUCUAAAAUGUUUAACCCCUGCAUUGCAUUUCCGUGUAGAGUUGAAUCUCGCCAACGGGACGUACGAGCUUCAUCCAGCCCCGGAAGAAGACCCUGCCGAGGAACAACUGCACCCCUUCGAAGGAGAGCCCGAGCCAGCGCAAGACCCCGAGGACCCCCAAGCUUUUUCUGAAGGCAAGCCCCGGUGCAUGAACUCCCUGUUUUGCUUUCAUGCCAUUGAUUGAUUACUUGAUUGCGCAUUUACGUUUCGAGGAGUUGUAAUGGAACCUUAGAUGCAUAACUUAGUACCUUGUUUUGAAUACUAGUCUCUAAGGCCGAGUAGUUGCAUUGCUUAAUAGGUUUCGGUAAAAGUCGAGUGAUCUCCUGUCACUCGCGAGUUAUAGGAGUUGAAUGUUUCAGUUUUGUCGCAACUAUAAGGACGACGGACGGGGUCAGGCUUGUGUUCGAUGCUUGGUGGAUUGCCCCAUCUGUCUAAAUGAAAACGAACUAAGGUCGAAACAUGUCGGCGUUCGUGAUCAAGUGAUUGAAAGUACUAAUCUCAUACCUAGUAUGGGAUGGGGAAGCCUAGUACCUGAUUGAACUGGGGCGUGGCAUACCUUCCAGCUGUCCUUGGAACGUCGUUCCCAUGGUGCAUCAUGUGGGUGCAAGUGCGGUCACAGUGCAGCACUAGGCCGGGACUGUGGAGCAUUGCAUGCCAAAGGAAGUUGGCCCUGACACGUGCCUAAGGGAUCGAUGGGGACGGUUGACAAAUGAAGCAACCCUUCGUGGUGCGCGGAUGUCGUGAGAUUAGGUUUGCCAUGCAUGGUUAAUAAAUUCGAAUCGAUUCGUCUGCCUCUCACAGAUUGGGACUACUUGAUCGCUAUGCUGCACUGAGUAAGGAUGGAACAUGAUGAGGUUUUAAAUCUUGAUGUUUGAUAAGUAAUUGCCUGGAAACCAUGUUUGUUUAGUAUAAGUUGCUAAUUUAGAAUGGAUAAAGAACAUAGAACAUGAGCUAAAAGGUUGAAAGUAAGGACUAACUUUAGACGCUUUUGGCAAGAAAAACCCCAGAGCCAGAAAGCCUUGCAUGUUUAGGUCUCGGUCGUGUCCUUCCGACGGAUCAGUCUUGCUGAGUACUAGUUGCUCAGCCUUGUUGUGGCUAAUCUUUUUCAGGUAAUAUCAGUAGAUUUGGUGUUGGUACCACUUGGCCGACCUAGCUUCCUCCAGGCUGGACCGUCGAGUGGGAUCCUUCCUCGGACGGUGAAGGGAGAAAUUUUUGAUGUCAUGAUCGGCUCCGUCAUGAUGUCUUGUAUCGACGUUUAGCUUACGCUAGUUUUAAUUUGACCUCGAACCAUGCAAAAUUUCGGUUGAAGUUCCAAAACUCUGAUGUAAUAAAUUGUUGAACUAUGUUGUCAUGAUGGGAUGUUGUAAUCUCUGUGCUACUCACCUUCGCGUGAGCGAUGCUUCUCAAUCCUGUUUACGUGGUUUAUCGGAGGAAAUCCGACGGUCAACCAAGUUGACUUGCUUAAAGUGCAUAAUCGCAUGUCAGGCGACUUCAAUGCAUUUUAGUCAGGUUAAUUUGGGCGGUUCCGCCACAGCUGGCAUCAGAGCUCGAAGCACAGUACGGAGAACAAUAAACCUUAAAACUCUUUUUCUAACUAAAAUUUACAAGAAGUAAAAAUCAAGAAGCUCGUAAGUUCGCUAAGGAUGAGUAUAGUUCGAGGAGCCCUAGGGGAUUUUGGGAUUGUUUUUAAGGUGGCUAAUAGUUAUUGGUUAUCUUCUAACUUCCAGCACUUUUUGACACGUCUAUCAUACGUGUGCAUGAUUCCGCAUCGCGAGUAUGCGAAGGGUGAUGGGAAUUCAAUUCCAACGAGCCUAUCGUCACGGUUGUUCGCCCACGUUUGUUACACGUGUGCAUGAUUCCGCAUCGCGAGAAUGCGAAGGGUUAUAGGAUUCUAUUCAAAGGAACCUAUUUCCACGGUUGUUGCGCUGUCCAUGCAGCGUUAAACGCAUGGGUGCCGUUUCUAUAGCGAACGGUAAUGAUUGUGGACGCUUUCGUGAGUGCUGGCACGGAAGGUUCAAGCUGUGUUGUGUUUUUCUGCAGGUACACUAACAAAGGUUGCAUUCGAAAUGAUGCCUAGUAACUCGACUAGUUAUUAUAGUGAGGGUCGUAUUGUUGCCUUGCCACCGGCACUAACCACGUAAGUCCAAAGAUUUUUGGCAAUUAUUUUUGGUUGAGAGGACGACUAAGACGUGCAUGCAUUCAAACUCGAGUACGUCGUAAAACGUAAUGCACCGCAUUAAGGAUUGUCUAGCUGUCUUUUUCCGCCAUGAUAACUCUAGAAACUUUGUAUAAGCAAGUCGUGUUAAAACACUCAAGUAAAACUGCCACCAGGUACUAACUUUUGGGUUGAGAGUUGUGAUCAGUUGGUGACCCCCUGUUGGCUGUUAGCCCAAAGUGCACACCAGCGGAGUUUCUGCUGUUUCGACCACCCUAAGGACCUUUUCAGUGAGGAGCCCUUUAAGCAAAGUUUUUCAGAACUUAGUGAAGGACUUACUGGUAGAGUUUCAGCUUUGUUGAGUCUCUGGCUUGGAAGUUGUGUUCAGUUUAUCUUGACUCAGUCUAAAGAGUUCCAGCAGGUACACUUAAUGGGAAUCUGAGAUCAUCACCUCGUUAGGUUCUGUUCUAGCCCUACCUUUGAAUACCAAACUUGUUACACGCUAUCUAAAGAACCUGCUAGUAAAAUUUGAGAAGUUUUGGAGGAAUACUUGAUGAGUUAUGAGCUUUCCUCUAACUGCUAGAAAUCUAUUUGAUUUCCAAGUGUUAGCUCCGUUCUCACUUGACCUUUGGUUACAGAUGGCGCAGCCCGUGCACGUUGCAGUCGGCACGGAUGGCACCACCUACUCAUGGUGCCUUCACUACGAGGGUUUUCCAGCUGUGUUGUGGGACACUCUGCGCUCUUUCGGGUAUCAGUCGCCACCGGUUUAUGCGGGCCGUGCGUACCAGGACCACGGGAUUCCGCGGAGCCGCGUACAUGUGCGGGUAUCCCCACAUCCAGAUCAGCCACAGUGGCCACUGUUGGAGGUAGUGGCUGAGGGACACACGCUCCACGACGCCUGGGAGUUCGGAGCCUUGCAGACAUUGACCCAGUUCUGCCGGGCACACCCUCUUGAGAUCGUGCUAGACCCGAUUGGGUUGUUCCCUGCCCGGGAUACGAGGGACCCGGACUGGUUGGACCGUAUGGAGCAUAUGGACUUGCUCGGACUUAUGAAUCCUCAGCGCACGAUUUUUGUUUCAGCUCGCUGCCUGAAUGUGUUCUACAGGAUGGUUGAGCUGCAGAGCCGAGCAAUGGCCACGGUGAUUAGGAUGGCAGUGGCCAACCAGGUUGCGUUGUCUACCGUGCAGAGUGGCAUGGUGGACCAGUCGCUCGAGCUGGUACAGAAGGAUGUUCAGAUUGCUGAGAUGCAGGACAAGAUUACUAGUUUAGAGGAAGAGAUUGUAGACAUGGAGCACGAUAUGGAGAUCUUGGCUGACCAGUUCUAUGAUGUGAACAUGGAGCUGGCGAACGCCAAUGAGCACUUACAAGAACAUCAUGAUGAGCUAAAUGUCAUCCACGCCCUGGAGGUGCAGCUAGAUGAGCAGAUGGCCCAGGAGGAGGAGCCUGAGGAGAUCAAAGGCUUUUCGAGCAUGGACUAUGAGAAUGCCUCACCGCAGCCUCCAGUUGGUGACGCUCACUCACCGGCCCUUAGCUUUGCCUCCGUGGGCAACCUCGACGACUUCUAGUUAUGACAAACUAGGUUGAGCGGUUCUUUUGUCUUUGUUUGUACUCCUCGGCGACCUAUAUUUUUGGCCAGUGAUGUAAUAGGUUAGCCUUGAGUUGAGUACUCCUCCUGUAUGUAAGACCAGCAAUGAAAUGAUCUUAGUGAAAGCAGUUCCUUUUGUUUUCGCUCCCUUUGACUCUACUUCUGAUCUUUGUGACACACCGUGGAUGCCAAGUUGUGUGGGUUUUAGUGCUGUGAUCACACACCCGCCUCCUGUGGGCCUGUCCAAAGCUGGCCGACCCCGGGUCGCGAGGUCGGACGCGCCCGACCCCUCGCGGCAGGUCUCCGCCUCGCCCGACCCCGGGAUGACAGUCUCCGCCUCGUCCGACCCCAUGUUGGAAGGUCUUCGCCUCGCCCGACCCCGGCACCAGAGGUCGGAAUUUAGUGGGGCACCGAGGAUAAGGUUUUGCUCGCCCAAGGGUGUGUGCAGACCAACCAGGGAAACACCGGAUCUUGUGGACCCUACAAAACAUGGAUCCAAAUACCUUUCCGAUCGGUAACAAGGAUAAAAUGACGCUGCAGAAAACGGGCUAGUUGCUAGCUAAGAUGUGUGCACCUCCUUAUAAGGAUAUGUGUUGUGUUGCAAAAGUUGCAUCCGUGGAUUUAACACGUGCAUUCCCACAUUUUAUUGGGAAUACUUCUGAGGUUAUGGAGCUAAUGGAAAGGUGAAUCUUGCAGAUGGCGCAUCGCACACGCUCCGGCUUUGUUCCCAGUGGCAGCGAGGUGCCUCCCCCACCUCCGCCUCCGACCACCCUCGAGUCGAUCUUGGCAGCCCAAACCGAGCUGUUGAGGCACAUCGCUCAGGGGCAGCAGCAGCAGCCCCAAGGAGGAAGGGCCCAUCAUCAGCCACACGUUGCUCGUUAUGAGGAUUUUCUGGGGACCCAGCCUCCUCUGUUUCACAAGACGGAGGACCCACUUGACGCCGAUGCCUGGAUUCGCGCUAUCGAGUCCAAGUUCUCCCUUCUCACCGCAGUUCGCCCGGAUGAGAACAAGGUUCGGUUCGCUGCGCAGCAGUUGCGUGGUUCUGCUCUCCUGUGGUGGGAAAACUACCACGCCAUGCAGUCGGCCGACCACGUCGUUGCCUGGGAGGAAUUCAAGACAGCGUUCAGGGGUCAUCACAUCCCUGAGGGUCUUCUAGAGCGCAAGCUCAACGAGUUCCUGGUUCUCACCCAGGGAGGCCGCGAUGUCCUGCACUAUGCGCAGGCUUUCAACGACCUGUGUCGCUAUGCAGGCUAUCAUGCGGACUCCGAUGAAAAGAAGAGGGACCGUUUCCGCAGAGGCUUGAGUUUGGAGCUCAAGGAAAGGCUGAACCCUAUCAAAGUGGGUUCCUACAAUGAACUGGUGAACCUGGUAAUUUCCCAGGAAGAUUGCAUGAAGGCUCUCAAGGCCGACAUGAAGAGAAAGGCCCCAAUGCCGGCACCCAGCCCGCCUGCCCAGAAGUACAGAAUGGUUCCCCCACAAGCGCCUCGCAGGCCUGCACAGCCUGGGAGAUGGGUUGCUCGACCUCCACCGCAGGCAGCACCUCGUUUCCCAGGUUUCCAGCCACAAGGGCCCCGUCCUGCUCUCCCGAUGCCACUACGCCCGGUCCCUGGAAACCGCUGUUUCACUUGCGGGAACUCAGGACACUUCGCCAAGGAAUGCCCCCGCAACCAGAACCCGGUCAAAGCAAUACAUCAGGCAACAAGGGGAAGAAGCCAAAGGUGCAGGUCCGACAAGGCAGGCUGAACUUCACCACCCUUGCUGAACUUCCAGAGGGCGCACCAGUGAUGACAGGUACCUUUUCUAUCUGUGAUCAACCCAUCCUUAUUUUGUUUGAUUCAGGAGCAUCCCAUAGUUUCAUUGGGAUUAGAAUCAGUGCUAAGUGUGGGCUAGAUUUCUGUCACACAAAAGGCACCUACCUAAUCUCUACCCCGGGUGGAAAGGUAGCUUCACACCAAGUGAGCCGCAAAGUACCUAUCCAGUUAGGAAGGACCCUCCUUAAGGAAGACCUGCUUACCCUUGGGAUAGAAGGAAUAGAUGUUAUCUUGGGUAUGGAUUGGAUGACCCGACACCGAGUGACCCUAGAUAUCCCUGCCAGGGCAAUCCACAUAAAUUCACCCAAGUAUGGUAGCUCCACCAUACGCUUACCUCCCCGAGAGUGCCAACCUUCUUGUGCCUAUCCCGUGUCUGAAGCCCGUUUGGAAGAUAUCCCAGUGGUGUGCGAGUACCCGGAUGUGUUUCCAGAUGAUUUGCCGGGCAUGCCGCCUGAGAGAGACAUCGAGUUUGCCAUUGAGUUGCAACCAGGUACCGCCCCAAUCUCAAAGAGACCAUAUCGGAUGCCACCUGCCGAACUGGCAGAAAUGAAAACUCAGUUGCAUGAUUUGUUGGAAAGGGGUUUUAUUCGCUCAAGUACAUCACCUUGGGGUUGCUCUGCCUUGUUUGUGAAAAAGAAGGACGAUAGUCUGCGAAUGUGUGUCGACUACUGACCCCUCAAUGCGGUGACGAUAAAGAACAAGUACCCCCUACCUCGCAUUGAUGUUCUGUUCGACCAAUUAGCUGGAGCUAGAGUGUUUUCCAAAAUUGACCUCCGUUCUGGCUACCAUCAAAUUAGGAUCCACCCGUGUGACGUUCCAAAGACUGACUUCUCUACACGCUAUGGACUCUACGAGUACUUAGUCAUGUCGUUUGGGCUUACUAAUGCACCGGCUUAUUUCAUGUACCUCAUGAAUUCGGUGUUUAUGCCCGAACUCGACAAAUUCAUCGUGGUUUUCAUUGACGACAUCUUGGUGUACUCGAAGAAUGAACAAGAACAUGCAGAGCACCUACAUACUGUACUCCAACGCUUAAGAGACCACCAACUCUAUGCCAAGUUCUCCAAGUGUGAUUUUUGGCUGGACAGUGUUAAAUUCUUGGGGCACACCAUAUCCAGAGACGGUAUAGCAGUAGACCCAAGCAAGGUGCAAGAAGUAAUGGACUGGAAGCCGCCCGCUUCAGUUCAUCAGAUUCGAAGUUUUCUUGGUUUAGCUGGUUACUACCGUUGCUUCCUCCCUGACUUCUCAAAAAUAGCCAAGCCAAUGACGGAACUGCUGAAGAAAGGGAGUAAGUUUGUGUGGAGUGACAAAUGUGAAGAGGCUUUCCACACCUUGAGGCAACUAUUGACUUCGGCGCCAGUUUUAGCUCAGCCUGACACCACUAGGCCAUUUGAUGUGUAUUGCGAUGCCUCUGGCACUGGACUUGGUUGUGUUCUUAUGCAAGACAGCCGAGUCAUCACCUAUGCCUCGCGAGCAUUACAGCCACAUGAGUUGAACUACCCUACUCAUGAUCUUGAGUUAGCGGCAGUCGUUCAUGCUCUGAAAAUGUGGAGACAUUAUCUCAUGGGAACCCGAUGCAACAUCUAUACAGAUCACAAGAGUCUUAAGUAUAUAUUCACUCAAGCAGAUCUCAACAUGCGUCAACAGAGAUGGUUAGAAUUAAUCAAGGAUUAUGACCUAGAAGUGCAUUAUCACCCAGGAAAGGCCAACGUAGUUGCAGAUGCACUCAGCCGCAAGGUCCAUUGUAACUGCUUAUCGGCGGUCAAUUAUGCCGAGACCCUGUGUCACGAAAUGGCUAAACUCAACUUGGAAAUUGUUCCACACGGCACCUUGAGUCAUAUUUCUCUGGAGCCCGCCCUGCUUGACCAAAUAAUUCUAGCACAGCUAGAGGACCAAGAUGUAAACCUUAUCAAAGAGAAACUUGCACAGGAGGACGAAGGAUAUAAACAUUUCCGACGGGAUUGGAAAGGAGUAGUAUUUUAUGAAACUCGACUUGUAAUUCCAAAUGAUCCCGACCUUAAGAAACAAAUUUUGGACGAAGCACACCUGUCCAAGUUCUUGAUUCACCCCGGCAGUACCAAGAUGUAUCACGACCUCCGACAAAAUUUCUGGUGGAGUGGGAUGAAACCCGACAUUGCUCGAUACGUUUCAGAGUGCGAUACCUGUCAGCGAGUUAAGGCAAGCCACUUGAGGGUAGCUGGCCCCUUGCAGCCGCUGCCCAUUCCCUCGUGGAAAUGGGAAGACAUAAGCAUGGACUUUAUAGUCGGAUUACCCAAUACCUCCCGCAAGCAUGACUCCAUAUGGGUUAUAGUAGAGCGACUAACCAAAACCGCACAUUUCCUUCCAGUACACACCACCCACACCAUACAGAGAUAUGCAGAACUGUACCUUGAUCGGAUUGUUUCCUUGCAUGGUGUACCUAAAACGAUCAUCUCUGAUCGAGGUAGUCAGUUUGUAGCACGCUUUUGGGAACAGUUGCAGUUUUCACUUGACACGAAACUGAUCCGCAGUUCCACAUAUCACCCUCAGACCGAUGGGCAAACUGAAAGGGUUAAUCAGAUUUUGGAGGAUAUGUUGCGCGCCUGUGCUAUUCAUUAUGACAAGAACUGGGAUAAGUGUUUGCCAUUAGCGGAAUUCUCCUACAACAACAGUUACCAAGCUAGCCUAAAAAUGGCACCUUUCGAGGCCUUGUAUGGACGUAGAUGCUGAACCCCUCUGAGCUGGUCGCAACCCGGAGAGAGAACGGUGUAUGGACCUGACCUGGUCAUAGAGGCCGAAGAAAAAGUGAGAAUCAGCCGCGAAAAUCUCAAGGCCGCCCAAUCUCGACAGAAGAGCUAUGCCGAUCAGAGAAGGAGACCCAUCCAAUUUAAGGUUGGAGAUUUUGUAUACCUACGGGUUUCACCGACCAAAGGCGUACAACGUUUUGGAGUAAAGGGAAAGUUAGCUCCGCGCUAUAUUGGUCCCUACGAGAUCGUAGAGACGUGUGGACCCGUAGCAUACCGAGUACAGCUUCCAAAAAAGAUUGCAGCGAUACACGAUGUUUUCCAUGUCUCGCAACUCAAGAAGUGCAUCAGAAUUCCAACUGAAAUCAUUACCCCGGAAGAAUUGGAGAUUGAACCCGAUUUAUCAUAUAAGGAGUAUCCAGUUAAGAUCCUCGACCGGAAGGAAAGAUACACUCGUCGGCAAAGGGUCAAGAUGUACAAAAUUUAGUGGAGUCACCAUACGGAAGACGAAGAGACAUGGGAGACGGAAGAAUAUCUCAACGCUAACUUCCGCGGUUUUCUUUUAGAUCAAGGAGGUACGUUGCACCAGCCACACUAGUUCCUUCUGCACUUGAAUCUCGGGGCGAGAUUCCUUUAAGGGGGGUAGGCUGUAACAACUCUACCUAAAUUAAGUGCUUUAAUCCUAAACCAGUGUCAAUUAAACCCCUAAGCUACGAAGUGAAAUGACCUUUUUAAACCUAAGAAGCUCUCUUUUGGAGUUUGUUUUAAAGCUUGAAAUUCUAUAUACAAACUUAAGUUUCUGCCCAAAUAAGAGUUGUAAAACUUUUAAUUUCCCACAACUUUUGUUAAAGGCACCUUGUCUAAGUCGGAGUGGAAAGGAGUCAGAAACAGCAACCCAAGCCGGUUCUCCUGCAGGACCCUGAAAAUCUCUUAAGUCCUGGAAUUUGAGUUUUCCUCCAUCUUUGCAAGCUUUCAUCUCCUGUUUUCCUAUCUAAACUCGAGUCAGAGCCUUAAUAGAAGUUGUAGUACCUCAAGAGUGUUCCAGCUUUGUUACACUGACCCAGAUCCAAAUCGGGCCCGAACUUGUUCAAAAUCCCGGUCAAAGUGAGGUAAACCAGUCAACUCACCCCGGAUGCUUAAAAAUCCUAAGUCUGGAAUCCCAGAUUUUUGGCUAAUUUUGGACGGAAAUAUCUUUGAAUCCUUUCACAAUCUAAACCGACACCUUAAACAAAGUUUGAAGGAUUACCAGAGUCGAACAAGUUUGUUUAAGGGAGUUUCGGGUGUUGUGUUGAAAGAUUCGGAGAAGGAUCGCUCCAAAGCUGGUCUGGCUUGCAGCCCGAAGGGAGCCUCGAUGCCCGCGCGCCCGAGCAUGUUCGCUCGCGCGCCGCGUGGCCGCCGGCCACCAGCAGCUCGCCGGCGCCCUAUACCCAGCGCGACAGCGACCGGACGAGAGCCACGGUGCCCAACCCGCACCCGCGACAGGACGGAGCAAGCGCAGGGCUAGCCAAUCGCCGGCUGAGCGCAAGUCGCCUUCCGUCUGCCACGGCUCUGCUCCACCAAUCCUGUUCCGCCCGUUCGCCGAGGAAGCUGAGAUGCCCCCGACGUCCCGCGUCUCCGCCCGCUCGCCCAACCCCCGCGGUAGCCUUUCCGCCUCGCCCGCCCGACAGACCGGAAGCACCAGACGCUCGCCGCCCAAGGCCAAUCGCCACCGAAGACCACCCGGAGCUCCGCCUCCUCUGCCCAAUAGCGUCGUCGGCCAAUGGCCGCCUCGCUCGAGCACUCGCCGCUCCCGGCCUUAUCCUUUCCCCACCGGAGCCCCGCCUCGACCCUCCGCGCCACCCCGGGCCUAUAAAAGGGGACCCCCUCACCGGCAAUGCCACCCCUUGCCACCGCCCGCACCUGCGCCGCCGCUUUCUCCUCUGCGCCCUGCCUUCUCCUCUGAGCCACCGCUUUCUUUCCGCGCCGCGCUGAGCUUCUGUGGAGCUCACCCCCUUGCGCCACCACCACACUCCGGUGACUUCGCCGCCACCCCAAGCCGCUUCAUCCGACACACCCGCCGCUGCUCCUCCGCGCGGUACUAGAGCUUGCUUGUGUCCACCAGAAGCACACCGCCGCCGGACCACCGUCGAAGUCUCGCCACCGCCCAAGCCUUCGUGCGUACAACCUUCCCGCCCCAGCCUGCUCCUGUUCGGCCCCAAGGCAUCACCGGUAGACAUGGAGGUAAGCUACUUAACCUCCCUGUCUUUCCGUCCCGCCCGACCCCUAUCCUUGUUCGGUUCGUCCGACCCCUUUGUUUCGGUUCGUCCGAACCCUUUGUUUCGGUUCGCCCGACCCCUUUUCUUUUCGUCUCGCCCGACCCUGCCAAGUUUCGCCGACCCUCUCUCCGCCUCGCCCGAGGGCUCGGUUGUAAUUCUUUUUCUUUGACCCGAGGGUAUCGGUGAAAUGUUUUCGGGGAUUCCUCUGUGUUGAGUCUGAGGACCUCGGUACGGUUUUCCUUAAACCUGAGGGUCAGACCCUAAGUUUUCCCCAAUCCAACCCUUCCAUCCUACUCUCCACAUGCAGAAGUUGAACUCCCCCACCUUUCCUGUAGCUUUGCUACAAGUGUCCGUGUUAAAGCAUGGGAAUGUUGAAAUAACCAUCUAAAAUGUUUAACCCCUGCAUUGCAUUUCCGUGUAGAGUUGAAUCUCGCCGACGGGACGUACGAGCUUCAUCCAGCCCCGGAAGAAGACCCCGUCGAGGAACAACUGCACCCCUUCGAAGGACAGCCCGAGCCAGCGCAAGACCCCGAGGACCCCCAAGCUUUUUCUGAAGGCAAGCCCCGGUGCAUGAACUCCCUGUUUUGCUUUCAUGCCACUGAUUGAUUACUUGAUUGCGCAUUUACAUUUUGAGGACUUGUAAUGGAACCUUAGAUGCAUAACUUAGUACCUUGUUUUGAAUACUAGUCUCUAAGGCCGAGUAGUUGCAUUGCUUAAUAGGUCUCGGUAAAAGUCGAGUGAUCUCCUGUCACUCGCGAGUUAUAGGAGUUGAAUGUUUCAGUUUUGUCGCAACUAUAAGGACGACGGACGGGGUCAGGCUUGUGUUCGAUGCUUGGUGGAUUGCCCCGUCUGUCUAAAUGAAAACGAACUAAGGUCAAAACAUGUCGGCGUUCGUGAUCAAGUGAUUGAAAGUACUAAUCUCAUACCUAGCAUGAGAUGGGGAAGCCUAGUACCUGAUUGAAUUGGGGCGUGGCAUACCUUCCAGCUGUCCUUGGAACGUCGUUCCCAUGGUGCAUCAUGUGGGUGCAAGUGCGGUCACAGUGCAGCACUAGGCCGGGACUGUGGAGCAUUGCAUGCCAAAGGAAGUUGGCCCUGACACGUGCCUAAGAGAUCGAUGGGGACGGCUGACAAAUGAAGCGACCCUUCGUGGUGCGCGGAUGUCGUGAGAUUAGGUUUGCCAUGCAUGGUUAAUAAAUUCGAAUCGAUUCGUCUGCCUCUCACAGAUUGGGACUACUUGAUCGCUAUGCUGCACUGAGUAAGGAUGGAACAUGAUGAGGUUUUAAAUCUUGAUGUUUGAUAAGUAAUUGUCUGGAAACCAUGUUUGUUUAGUAUAAGUUGCUAAUUUAGAAUGGAUAAAGAACAUAGAACAUGAGCUAAAAGGUUGAAAGUAAGGACUAACUUUAGACGCUUUUGGCAAGAAAAACCCCAGAGCCAGAAAGCAUUGCAUGUUUAGGUCUCGGUCGUGUCCUUCCGACGGGUCAGUCUUGCUGAGUACUAGUUGCUCAGCCUUGUUGUGGCUAAUCUUUUUCAGUUAAUGUCAGUAGCUUUGGUGUUGGUACCACUUGGCCGACCCAGCUUCCUCCAGGCUGGACCGUCGAGUGGGAUCCUUCCUCGGACGGCGAAGGGAGGAAUUUUUGAUGUCAUGAUCGGAUCCGUCAUGAUGUCUUGUAUCAACGUUUAGCUUCCGCUAGUUUUAAUUUGACCUCGAACCAUGCAAAAUUUCGGUUGAAGUUCCAAAACUCUGAUGUAAUAAAUUGUUGAACUAUGUUGUCAUGAUGGGAUGUUGUAAUCUCUGUGCUACUCACCUUCGCGUGAGCGAUGCUUCUCGAUCCUGUUUACGUGGUUUAUCGGAGGAAAUCCGACGGUCGACCAAGUUGACUUGCUUAAAGUGCAUAAUCGCAUGUCAGGCGACUUCAAUGCAUUUUAGUCAGGUUAAUUUGGGCGGUUCCGCCACACUGAGACUACUCCAAAUUGACAAAGCCCGCUACACGCUCAGCGACCGGCUCCAGAUCCUCCAAAUACUGCGUGAACGCUUCAUCGCUACAAUCUCCGGUGAUACCGUAUGUGACCAACGUCAAGUUAGCGAUAGAAUACAGAAUUAUGAUCAACAAGAUACGAGUACAAGUACUCACCCUCCAAUUUUUGCUACAAGGACUUGUUGGGCGCCACCAUACGACUCCUCUCCACUUCAAAAUCAUGCCUUUUAAUUCGAAAGGACUCAAUGACAUUUUCAUACUUCUUCAGGAAGUCAGCAGUGCAGCGGUGCUCCUCAGUAAUGUCCUUCUCCAACUGCGCCACAGGGCGCGCAGCCUCACCCUGCUCUUGGACAACUUGGAUAUUCUUGAGAGAUUUUUCAUACAAAUCCUCCACAAUCAAACAAUUAGUACUCUUCACGAGUACAUAUGGUGCCAGGCUACAAAAUUAAGCACUCAAAUGCAGUACUAAGAACUCACCUGAGUAUAAGCCAUCAACUGUUGAUGCAAGUUCACAAAGUCAGAUAUCGGUGGCAGCUCAUCUAGGGGACUCUCAAAAAUUUCAACUUUCUGCGACAAUCCUGGAGCAUCGGCCACCACACUAGCCCUCACACUCGACGUUAGGAUUAGCUUCUGAGAAAAAGAAGCUCCAACCUCUGAAACAUUCUUUUCCGCUGCUUGCUCAAGCACAGAAGUUGUCACUACAAUCUCGGUUGCAGGGGGAGGAUUGUCAUUAACAACCUCGGAGGCUGGCAGCGCCAGACCCUCAAGUGAAUAGAUUACAUCUCGCAAUAUGGCGGCUGCAAGAGUCACUGCACCUGUGUCACCAGUAUGCGCUGGGUCUUCACUUAUCAAAUCGACAACAGGUGCCGCAGCAGAAUCCGCGCCCGAUGGAUUUUCAACCUGUUCUGCGCUCACUUCUUCGAGAACAAUAUCCUCGGAAGUUCUAAUAUCAAACACGAUUCAAGAUUAAAAAAGAGACUACUGAUCGUGAAGUCGGUAAUCAAACCAUUACAAUAGAGUACUUACUUGGCCGACCGGGGAGGAACUCGACGAUGUUUCUUCGCCACGGGGACUGGAUGUACACUCGGAGCUGGCUCACUAGCCGGUACGGGUGGCAACUCCUCGGUGUUUUUGCCAAGAUCUGAAAGAACCAACUCAGAGACAACGUACGCACGACUACUACCAGUACUCGCGUACUCACCGCUAGCUGGGACUUCAGGCAAAGUGGUGUCAGAAACUGCUUCGGGCAUUUUCACAAUUCCACUUAUGGUAGUCUCUAACGAGUCGCCCGCUUCACCACUCGCAACUUCAAGAACAACGGCUACUUGAGUGGUAGCCAUCUCGGGCAUCAUGGCUGCAUCUUCAGCGGAUGUCUCCAAAGAAAUCACACUACCAGCCGCAUCCUUAGCUAUCGCGACUACAUCAUCAGAAGUAGUCUCGCCAGCUCUGUACGCUGCAUUCGCGGCUUCCUCAAUGUCUUCAUCCAUAUCAUCAACAACCUGCAAACACAAACGUCAAAACAAGUCAAUUCGACUAGUCAAGGUAAUUACCGGCGGUGGAGCCUUGAACGUCUCCAAGUGCUUGCUGACAGAUCGCUUAUGCAAUACGGUCCGUCUCUUCUUUGGCAUUGGAGCCUGGACCUCUCCAUCACCAACAUCUCCCGCUGGAUGCUUCAAGGUAUCGGUUCUAAAUUUAUAUCCUUUGAGAACUCGAGACUGCAUAGGGAAACAUGAUCAGACAACUCGGACUCAGACGAUGCAAAAUCUGAACCGCCAAGCAUCUCAGAGUCCCCAUCCUCCUCCUCCUCCUCUGAGGGAUCAUCAGGCAAGCGCACGUAGUACACAGAUUUCACGUUCUUUGCACCAUCAGCAUCAGGGUGAGGAGGAGGAGAAAAGUAUAAAAGGACAUCCUCCUGCGUAAGGAAUUACUGGUUGGCAAACAUAACGACUAUUAAUUAUGGGUACUCAAAAGGAAAGCAAGUUACCUCUCUGGGUUGAUACCAUUUGUCAAACUCCUGAAUGGACUCAUCAACUUCGGGCACUCCUUGAAAAUUCUUCAAAAAUUUGCUCAACAAGUCUUCAACCGCUUCAUUAGAUAUAUCUUCAAUAGACAUCCAAGAUGGAUCAUCAAAGCCUGAGGACUCGUAGCCCCAAGUCUAGCGCAACUGCAAUGGUUGUUCUCUUCUCUUCAAGAAGCUGGCUGCUACAUUUAUCCCUGUCAGCCCUGCUUUCUUCAAUGUUGCUAUCAUCUGCAACAACUCAGCCACUUGAUGAUUGUCCUCAAUGCUAGGCUCUUCAAGCCACUUGCUCGAGUACUUCGGGCGGUACCCGGUAAUCACUGGCAUUGGAGGCUCAUGGUUCUCAAUAUAAAACCAGUUCUAUUUCUAGACACCAUGGGACGGCAGAGUCUCAUAUUCCAGAUACACUUCGGAGUCCCUUAGCUGAAACCCUGCGCCUCUGAGUACUGCCAUUCUAUCUUGACUAGGCUGGGGCUUGCAGCAGAAAAGCUUACAAAAUAAUUGAAAAUGGGGUUGUAUUCCCAAAUAUGCCUCACAAAGAUACACAAAGAUUGCAAUGUGCAGUAUCCCAUUGGGAUUCAGAUGAACAAGCUGAAUGUCGUAAAAGUUGAGGAUACCUCUGAAGAAAUCCGAUGUUGGAAUAGCAGGUCCUCUCUCAACAAAAUGAGCCCAAAUCACUGUCUCUUUUGGAUGGACCUCAAGGUUCUAGGCAUUGGCAUAGGCGCACCUCCAAUUCACGACAACCUCCUCCUGUAGCAAUUUUACAUCCACCAACUCUUGGAUUGCUUCCUUCUUCAUGGUGGACAUCUUCCAAGUGGAUGCUUGAUUUGGCAAAGCAGUCUGAUCGGUAGGCCCACAUUUGGGUGGAGGAAGCUGCGGCUGCUUCCCCUUCCUGGAAUCUUUCAUCGAUUCUUUUAUAGCUUUUCCCUUGGACUUGUCAGUCUUCUUCCCCAUCUUCACAUGCAUCACCAUGGGGCGUGUAAGAGGAGGAGGAGAAAACUACUAUAACACUUAAAGUUGCUUACUUCAGAUGAUGGUGGCGGCGGCGACGACGCAAGUGGCGGCGUUAGGGUUUUGUCAAGAUGGAGAAUGACAUAUGCGAAUGGCUGGAAGCAUAAACAAUGGAGGCUACCGGCCUUAUCUUUUAUAACAGCGCAACGGAUCUAAAACAGCUCCACGAUUCUAGGAACACAGCCGGUAAUCUCGCAACGGUCUGAUACUCUCAAGAUUUAUCUUGAUAUUGAAGUCCAACGGUCACGUUGAUCAUGAUUGACCCCUUCAUCACCUGGAAGUAAUCGAUCAAGUGCUCGAGGGCUGCAUACACCUCGCCUGUUGGAUAAAAAUUUCUUUUUCUUCAGGGAUUAAGGAAAGACGAAGCAAAUUCAGUUUGACCCUCAGCCUGAUUCUUCGAUUCAACCUAAGGCUCGGGGGCUACUCCAUAUGAAGUGCGAUUUUCGUCGCACUUCCAUAUUAAGGCUUGAAGACAAACUACUCAAAACCAAUGUCAGAAUGGGGCAGGAGUACCUUCCAGCCGCAUGAUAGCAUUCGAGUACUCGAAGACUAGCCACGACAGAAGUACUCAACGAGCACCAAAGACUAGUCGAGCAACGUCUGCUGAGUACUCGGAACUGUUUCAUUUGACUACAAAGUACUCGUGGUCUUGGCGACCAUACAUCCCCGAGCCCACCAGAAGAUCUGUACGGACCCACUCAAGGGGAUGUACUCGAGACGUAUCAGAACAUGAGGACUACGCUACAGGGCAAUGUAGACUACAUGGAACUUCUGAAGGACUAGUCGGAAUACAAGGAAACUACUCUGCCAAGUUAGAGUAGGACUCUGUAAUCUUGUCCGACUAGUACUCUUGUACCAAAGACUACCAUAUAACCCUGCUCCCCCGAUAUAUAAGGGCGGGCAGGGACCCCCUCAAAACAAGUUCAAUCGAAUACAAGCAUACAACACACAGGAUGUAGGGUAUUAUGCGAUCUAGCGGCCCGAACCUAUCUAAAUCGUGUCCCUGCGUCACCAUCGACUACUUCAUUUCAGCGACACCCACCAACCAAAACACUAUCUCGGGUACUCCCUUGAUAGGUUGCUGGGUUAAAACACCGAUAAAUACCUACCAACUCCAUGAGGAGGUCAGAAAAGGGGGUUUUUGGAGCACCUCUUGAGGUAUUCCAAAAAAACGUGGAUCUACCCCCUGCUCCACCUUUUUCCUGGAGCCGCAGUUGCUGGAGCUAGACGCGUUUGGCUGCGAAAUUUUUAGAGUUGGUGAAGUAAAGCAAUUUUUUCUGAAGUAAAGUGUUGUCAAACAGUAAGACCUACUGUACAUCGAUGCAAAAUUUACCCGAUCGCUUAUAACUUUCUAUCCCGCCAUUGCUGUUAUUAGUAGUAGUUUUUAACUAAUACUAGUAUGCCACAGUUACGUACGGCGUCAAAACGGACGGCAACAUCUCUCGGUGAUCCCAUCAACCCGCCCACGCCGCCACAGGGCCGCGCCCCGCACCGCAAGCUCGCGGGAUUCGGGCGCCGCGCGCCGUCCGUGCCCACGCAUGGGGAGCUCAGCAAGUUCUCCUACUCUGCCUGUCUGCCUGCUCUCCCGCCCGUUCGACGACAACGCCCCCGUGAACGGCUCGCUGGUUCUCGGCGACGGUGGCGGUGGCAAAAGCCGUCGGGAUGCAGUACGUCCCGGCCCUUUGGUCAAGAGCGCGGCCGGCGACAUGGCCCUGACCGGCGUGGUAGUGCAGGAAGGCCGUGCGGCUGCCGGAGCGGGCGUUCUCCGCCAAAUGCCUGCGGAGCGCGGGGGGCGCCAUCGUGGACUCCGGCACGACAUUCGCGUACCUGGACCCGAAGGUGUUCCAGGCGGAACUGCUCCUGCCUCCGCGCCCGUGCGCCCGACGUCAGACGCAGCGGCCUCCACGGGCACCGCGCCCUGGCGAGCGCCCCGAGCCACCUCCGGAGCAGGGGAGACCCCAGACACGGAACCUGCGCGACAAGCCGGCGUACCAGGUUCGGGUCGGCCGGCUGCUUGGCCGCUUAGGCUUGGGUUGGGUAUGCGCUCGACAUCGACGGUUUCAAUUUUCAAUGGUAUACAGAAAAUCUUCUCAUCGAUUAAGCAGUCUACAAGAAAUCACAAAACAAAGCAAUCGCUAGGCAGCAUAGCAUCAGGCAUCGUUAGCAACGUAAACAGCUCGUCCUCCGGCUGCUGUCCUGAGAAACAGGCAGCCAGAGAGACACGUCCACACAUCACUCGCGUCUCGUUCUUCAGAGGAACCUGUCGAGGUACUCGUCGACGGUGGUGUACUUGACGUCCGGGUACAGCUCGCUCGCGUCCACCCCCUUCGCCGGGUCGAUCUCGAAGCCGGCCUGCUCCCCCAUCACGUACGACGCGUGCCCGAUCGCCAGGAUGAUGUUCAGCGGCAUCGCCGACUCUGCACAUCCACGCAAUUAUUUGCCAUGUCAAUUAGCCAAACACACACGUUCCAAACGCUCCCACAGCUCCUCUCCCCGGCGGAGCCAAACGCACUGGCUGACCUUGGAUCUGCUUGAGCACGGCUUCCUCGGGGAUGUACACCCGCUCGAACGCCUUGCCGGUCUUCUUCUCCCACAGCGACAGGAGCUCGUUGUGCGACAGCGUGUUGGCCGGCGGCCUGACGUACAGCGUCCGGUUCUCGGCGCGCGGGUCGCCGGCGGCCAGCACCGUGUACGUCCCGAUGUCGCCUUCCUCCACGAACACGGCCUUGGCGUUGCCGUCGCCGAGGACGAUCGCCUUGUCCGUAGGCGCCGCCGGGGAGAGGAGCUGCCCGAUGGUCGGGAGCGCGUACCCCGCGAAGUACCCGGCCACGGCGUAGGUGUAGGGGAUCCCCGCGGCCUCGGUGGCGCGGCGGAUCGCCGCCUUGCCGGACAGGAUGGUCUUGGCCGGUUCCACGACGCCCGUCCGGUCCACGUCCAGGCCGAACUCCGAUGGGAAGAACCUCUGCACACACAACGACCAUCUAGCUAGUGAGAAUGCGUGUCCAGGGAUUGACAAAUGGAUGGACGGUGAGAACGAGAGCGAGGAGCCGAGGACCUUGACGUUGCCGGCCUCCUUGAUGGCGUCGAUGAGCCUGGUCUGGUCGGCGAUCUGCUGCGACCCGACGGUGGAGAUGACCACGUCGGCGGACUUGACGGCGCUCACCAGGCUGGCGUGGUCGUAGAGGUCGCCCUUGAGGAGCGUCACGCCGGCGUCCUGGAAGCUCUUGAGCAGCGCCGCCUUGGCCGGAUUGGACGGCGCCGUGUCCCUGACGAGCGCGAAGGUCGGGUGGCCCAGCCGCGCGCUCGCCGCCACGACGUGCCUGCCCAGGUACCCGGUGGCGCCGACCACCAGGAUCUUGCUCUUCUCCGACGCCAUCCUGUGUCACUACCCGACAGAACCUCAGAAACUCGCUUGGCGUCUGAUUGGCAUCCAGCGCCACUGUAUAUAAUGGUCUGAUCGAGUAUCACAUUCACAGCUGGUUCCAUCGAUAUUUUGUUUCGUCGACUGAUGGUUGUGGUGAAGCGUGAACCUGGUUGUGUUUCCGGACUUGGACAUUAUGGGCCGAAACCUUGGUGUCGUCAUUGUUCAAGGAUGACGACAUUUGUGUUUGGCCUACUUUUUCGGAAUUGCUAUAUUGUGCCCGAGUAUCUUGCUCUCUUCCACCCACUUCAAAACUUUUCUCUUCGCCCUAUCACCAAUUCUAGCGAGAUUUUCUGUCUCCUCCGCCUCCGUUGUGUUAGCGAUAUCGGGAUAUUUUUACAACACGGUUGGAAAUCUGGGGAUGAACAAAAAUUUAUGUAAGAAGAAAUAAAAAAGAGAAAUCGGUGCAUGAAGAGAAAUUUUAAAUUACCAUUGUGGGCUUGUGGACACGGACGGGGAGUGGAUGCUCUUUUUAAACUUGGAUGUGGUUAGAGUUGGACCAAUUUUAUGCCUAAAGCAGUGGUCAUUUUUUUCAUUUCUUUCUCUCCUCUGCACUGGGAAAUUAUUCCACUAACAAAGACAACAUUGAGUAGAGUUCAUCAACAAAAAUGGCAAAAUUUGAUAAUGUUUAGUAGUCAGGCGUCUUCAACUAAGGUAACUUCCCGUCAACUGUGGCCGAGUCCAUGGUCGGCAAAAGCAAAAUUUGGCCAGAUCCGCUCAGCCUAAUUUGGAAUUCUGGAUAGAGCUUGGGGGCUAAUGAUGAGUGAUGAUAAUGAAAUAAGCGUCAAAGAAAGGUUUUAGAUUGCUCAAUUCAAGAUCAAGUUCGUACUGUCGAGUCUUAUUAGCAUACACAUCAUCCCGACGAAUUGAUCUACUUGUAUACGAGUAGGAGUUCAUAACCGACUACGACAACAAAAGUGGUUCUCGAUCGGUAUAUGUACGCAUCAUGGGGCGAUGUACGAGACACAUAAGCUUUUGGGCUUUUGGGUUGCAUCUUGACCUAAAUACCAAAUUGUUUGUGCUCACGGUAAUAGAAAAAACUCUUAUACUCAAAUCAUGAGGCCUGAACCUGUAUAAAUCGCCCGCGUGCUAUUCCGGUUCUUGACGCAUCUUAAUAUUGAUCGUGAUCUUAUAUUGACACAUCAUUCCUUGUCGACUUAGAUCACCAAUCCUUGACAAUUUAAAUUACCAAAAAUGAUGAAAAUUACAAGGUGCAUAUUGUUCUCGUCUCGUCCUUCAGAGGAACCUGUUGAGGUACUCGUCGACGGUGGUGUACUUAACGUCCGGGUACAGCUCGCUUGCGUCCACCCCCUUGGCCGGGUCGAUCUCGAAGCCGGCCUCCUCCUCCCCCUUCACGUACGCCGCGUGCCCGAUCGCCAAGAUCAUGUUCAGCGGCAUCGCCGCCUCUUCAGCUGAAUGAAAUGAAUUGCAUAUUUUAAUUAACCACGCAUCCACAGUGAUAUAGAUUCAGAUGUUAUCCCCCGACAGUCCGACACCAUGAUCGAUCGAGCCAACAAGGCACUGACCUUCUUGGGUCUGCUUGAGCACGGCGUCCACGGGGAUGUACUCCCGCUGCAACGCCUUGCCGGUCUUCUUCUCCCACAGCGACAGAAGCUCGUCGCGCGACAGCGUGUUGGCCGGCGGCCUGAUGUGCAGCGUCUUGUUCUCGGCGCGCGGGUUGCCGGCGGCCAGCACCGUGUUCGUCGCGAUGUCCCCCUCGUCCACGAACGGCACUCUGGUGUCGCCGUCGCCGAGGAUGACGGCCUUGUCCUCUCCCUGCCCGAUCCCGAUGGAGGGGAGCGCGAGGGCUGCCAAGUACCCGGCGACGGCGUAGGUGUAGGGGAUGCCCACGGCCUCGGUGGCGCGGCGGACGGCGGCCUUGCCGGACAAGAGGGACUUGUGCGGCUCCACGUCCACGACGCCCGUCCGCGCCACGUCCAGGCCGAACUCCGCCGGGUCCUCAGGGGUGUUUGGAUACACCACCUAAAGUUUAGCAUGUGUCACAUCGGAUCUUUGGAUAGUAAUUAUGAGUAUUAAACAUAGUUUAAUUAUAAAACUAAUUGCACAGAUGGAGUCUAAUUCGCGAUAUGAAUCUAUUAAGGGCCUGUUUGGACGCGAGGUCAUAAAGUUUAUGACAUGUCACAUCGGAUGUUUAGAUACUGAUUAGAAGUAUUAAAUAUAAUCUAAUUACAAAACUAAUUACACAUAUGGAGUCUAAUUUGCGAGACGAAUCUAUUAAGCCUAAUUAGUCCAUGAUUUGACAAUGUGGUGCUACAGUAACCAUUUGCUAAUGAUGGAUUAAUUAGGCUUAAUAGAUUCGUCUCGCGAAUUAGUUUUAUAAUUAGCUCAUGUUUAGUCCUCCUAAUUAGCGUCCGAACAUCCGAUGUGACCCCUCCUAAAGUUUAGUACCUUGUAUCCAAACACCCCCUAAGCCUAAUUGGUCCAUGAUUUGACAAUAUGGUGCUAUAAUAACCAUUUGCUAAUGAUGGAUUAAUUAGGCUUAAUAGAUUCGUCUCACGAAUUAGCUCAGUAGUUCUGCAAUUAGUUUUAUAAUUAGCUCACAUUUAGUCCUCCUAAUUAGCAUCCGAACAUCCUAUGUGCUAAAGUUUAGCACCUAGUAUCUAAAUAUCACUCUUAGAGAUAAGUAUCCUAGGUUGUUUACGAACAGAAGUUAAGUAAGAAUGGAUUCUAUCCAUAAGGAUCCAAUCCGAGUUGUCUUAGUCAUGAAGUCAAAGAUUCCCGAUAUAAUUGAGGGAUAUGGACUCAUUGAAAAUAAAAAAGAAAGCAAUUAUAUUUCCCUCGAUCACUCUCCCUUUGUUCAAGCGCUGCAACCCCCCCCCCCCCCCCCCCCCCCCAACACACACACACACACCCACACACCACAAACUAGGACUGUAACAUGGUGGAGGAGCGAGCGUCGAUAAGUGGCGCGAGCAAGAGAUGGUGGCAGGCGGUGAUAGGGUUCACAGAGGAGGAAAAAGGCUGCACGCAAGAUCAGACGGCUAAUCUCAAAUAUCGGAAGUCUCUCUUCUUCUGGAAGAUCAUAGGAUCCGGAAGCCGACCGAUCAACCAGGAGAUUACUUAACAAAUGGACCGUCCAUUACAAAAGUCGUGGUACAUACCAAUGCAACAAACUGGAUCACGAAAGGGAUCGGAUCUUAUUGGCGUGGAAUUGACGGGACCUGGCCAGUGCAGGUACCCUCGAUCGAUCAGAGACACAUGGUACUAUCGCGCAUGCUGUGCUUCAGCAGUACAGGUGACAGUAGGCAAAGCACCAACAACCAACCACACGUCACGCGCGCCGUCUUCUUCAAAGGAACCUGUUGAGGUACUCAUCGACGGUGGUGUACUUGACGUCGGGGUACAGCUCGCUUGCGUCCACCCCCUUCGCC